rnacentral:lncRNA from 1 species
CUUUUUUUUUUGAAAUUUGGAUCCAAGGUAAGUACAUCAGACAAAUACAGUUGGCCAAUUUGCAUAAAAAAUUCACUUAUUUUGGGCUUUUGCAAAAUCAGACCAUUUUUUUUAUUUUUGCAGAUUCGGUCCGCUUUUUCAGCAAACUGACCAAAAUACCCUUAUUACUUUUUCUCUUUCCUCUUUCUCUCUCUUCUUCGUUUCUCUCGUUCUUUUUUUUUUUCUCGCCGGUAGAGCGGAGGCGGAGCGGAGGCAGAAACGGUCCGUCUCGCCUCUCACCCUCAUGCUCUCGCCCUCGCUCUUGCCCUCGUCCAUGCACCCCCCACCUUUCUCGCCUCCGACCCCGUUAAGGCCGCGCCGCGACUUUUUUUUUUUGUUUUUUUCUUUUCUUUUCUUCUCCGACUCUUCUCCACCGUCUCCGACGACGACGCCUCUCGCCCUUCCCCGCCCUUCUCAUCUCUCCCUCUCCCUCAUUUUCUGCCGCCUCCGACGACGAUUUAUCUUCGCCGGCGCCGACGUCGACACCGUAGAGGUCACUGCGGCGCUACAGCCUCGGAGCGGGGGGUCCUUAGCGGCGUCGUCACCGGCGCCGUCACCGGCGCCGUAGCUGUUGGCAGAGAAGGUGACAAAAAAAUUAUAGAAAAAACAGAAAAAAAAAAAAAGAUAAAAAAUUAUAUAAAAAGAAGGAUGAAGAUGAAAUUACAUCGUUAAUUACAAAAAAAAUUAUAAGUUGCACUAUUUAAGAUGUAAACUGCUGCUUUAAGAUAAAAAUUAUACUCUUUGAACGAAAAUUAUACUAUUUUUUAUCUUAAACUGCAUCCUUUUAAGUGAUAUUUAUACUGUUUCUCCUCUUGUUGCACUGUUUCUCCUGUUGUUGCACUAUUUCUCCUCUUAUUUACACAGAAAUGGUGCAACAAGAGGAGAAACAGUGCAACAAGAGGAGAAACAGUAUAAAUAUCUCUUAAAAGGGUGCAGUUUCUCCUCUUAUUGCAUUGUUUCUCCUCUUGUUGCACUAUUUCUCCUAUUGUUUACACAGAAAUGGUGCAACAAGAGGAGAAACAGUGCAACAAGAGAAGAAACAGUAGAUAUAUCUCUUAAAACAGUGCAGUUUCUCCUCUUGUUGCACUAUUUCUCCUCUUGUUUACACAGAAAUGGUGCAACAAGAGGAGAAACAGUAUAUAUAUCUCUUAAAACAGUGCAGUUUCUUCUCUUCUUGCACUGUUUCUCCUCUUGUUGCACUAUUUCUCCUCUUAUUUACACAGAAAUGGUGCAACAAGAGGAGAAACAGUAUAAAUAUCUCUUAAAAGGGUGCAGUUUAAGAUAAAAAAUAGUGUAACAAGAGGAGAAAUGGUGCAACAAGAGGAGAAACAGUGCAACUUUUGUUUAAAGAGUGUAACUUUCAUCUUAAUGGAUGCAGUUUACAUCUGAAAGAGUGUAAUAAGAAGAGAAACAGUGUAAAUAUUUCUCAAAGAGUGUAAUUUUCGUUUAAAGAGUGUAGUUUUCAUCUUAAAGCUGCAGUUUACAUCUUAAAUAGUGCAACUUAUAAUUUUUUUUGCAGUUAACGAUACAAUUUGAUGUUCAUCCUUCUUUUUAUAUAAUUUUUUAUCUUUAUUUUUUUUCUUUUUUUUCUAUAAUUUUUUUUUGUCACCUUCUCUGCCAACAGCCAUGGUGCCGGCGACGACACCGCUAAGGACCCCCGCUCCGAGCCUGUAAUGCCAUAGUGACCUCCACGGUGUCGACGUCGGCGCCGGCAAAGAUGCAUCAUCGUCGGAGGUGGCACAGAAUGAGGGAGAGGGAGAGAUGAGAAGGGCGGGGAAGGACGAGAAGGACGAGAGAGGCAUCGUCGUCGGAGACGGUGGAGAAGAGUCGGACAAGAAAAGAAAAGAAAAAAGCAAAAAAAAAAAAAGUCGUGGCGCGGCAUUGACGGGGUUAGAGGCGAGGAAGGUGGGGGGUGCGUGGACGAGGGCAAGGGCGAGGGAGGGUGAGGGCUAGAGAAUGAGGGUGAGAGGCGAGACGCCCGUUUCCGCCUCCGCUCUGCCGGCGAGAAAAAAAAGAACGAGAGAAACGAAGAGGAGAGAGAAAGAGGAAAGAGAAAAAGUAAAAAUAGUAUUUUGGUCAGUUUGCUGAAAAAGUGGACCGAAUCUGCAAAAAACGAAAAAGGUGGCCCGGUUUGCAAAAGCCCAAAAUAAGUGGAUUUUUUAUGCAAAUUGGCUAAUAUAGUUACAUACCUAUAUUUUUCUCUCAAAAAAAAAUAAUAACUAUCAUCAUACACAAAAGUAAGAAAAAAAAUAAAAAUAACUAGGAGAGUACAAUCUCUUAAAAAUAAUAUAAUCGAAGUAUAAUGGUAUAAUUUCACACAAAAUAUGGGGCAAAUAGUGCAAACAUAUAUAUAUAUAUAUAUAUAUAUAUAUAUAUAUAUAUAUAUAUAUAUAUAUAUAUAUAUAUAAGAGAGAGAGAGAGAGAGAGAGAGAGAGAGAGAGAGAGAGAGGAGUAGAGGGUGCGCUAGGAUGGCUUAUGAAAGUACGGAGGGCUCCGUGCUUCCACUUUGCUUUCGAUGUUCGGACUUUCGAAUCGACGAUCGCUCCGUUAGACUUGAUUAGAGUAUUUGAAAUAUCUAGAAAAUAAAUUUUGCGAUUUUUCGAUAUCAUUUACCUAGUGAUCGAAGUGGCUCAAAAUCAACGACUGAAAAUAAAAAUCUUACAAAAUAUGAUGAUAUGACAUUAAAAUUUUAGAUCGAAGUUAUUGAUCUUGUUUUAUAUGGUAUAAGAAUUUUCUAUCAAAAUUUCAUGUAAUUUGGAUAUUUCUACACCGUUAAACUUACAACCGGCUCACCACGACCAUUAAAAUUAUUUAUUUUGACCCCUUCGAUCACUAGGCAAAUGAUAUCGAAAAUCACAAAAAUUUAUUUUCUAGGUACUUCAAAUACUCUAGAUCAACUCUAACGGAGCCGAUCGUCAAUUCGAAAGUCCGAACAUCGAAACAACUUGGAAGCACGGAGGGCUCCGUGCUUCCAUAAGCAUACCAGCCCUCUCUCUCUCUCUCUCUCUCGCUCUCUCUCUCUCUCUCUCUCUUUUAUAAUUAUAUAUAUAUAUAUAUAUUAUAUAUAUAUAUAUAUAUAUAGUUGGACUACGCUACUAUUAAUAGCAAAAUCUUAUUGUUGUUACCAGUUUUUUUAGCCUUUGGAUCAAUUCUUUUCAUUAUUUCUAACCAUUGGAUUAAAUACUAUAACCCAGUGGGGACCACUCAAUCAUGGGGACCACUCAAUCUAACCGACUAAUAUCAUCCCGCCCGUAUAAUUUUUCAUCCAAGGGUUAAAAACUUGAUAGCAAAAAGAGUGUUUUACUAUUAAUAGUAUUCCAGCUUAAUUUUAUAUAUUAUAUAUAUAUAUAUAUAUAUAUAUAUAUAUAUAUUAUAUAUAUAUAUAUAUAUAUAUAUAUAUAGUUGAGCUAGAAUACUAUCGAUAGUAAACAAGCCGUUUUACUAGCACGUUAAAUAUGAUCUAAACCAUUUAAACUACUUAGAAAUUAAAUUUCACGCACUUUCGAUAUUGUUCUUUUAUUCAUCAAGUGAACAGAAAAAUGAAUGACUGAAAAUGAAUAUUCUUUAAAAAAAUGAUGAUAGGAGUCUUGUAAUCAAGAUCAAGAGUAUAGAUCUUGUUUUAAAUAGUUUAAAGAAUUUUCUAACAAAAAUUCAAUUGAUUUGGAUAUCUUUACGCCGUUAAACGAGAAAACGCUUCUUAUUGACCAUUAAAAUUACAAAUUUUGAAACUCUUUGAUCAUUAGGCAAAUGAUGUCGAAAAGAUUUGAAAUUUGAUUUCUAAAUACUUCAAGUGAUAUAGAUCAUGUUCAACGGAGCCGAUCGUCAGUUUGGAUGCUCUAUCAUCGAAAACAAAUAGGUAGUAAAACAACUCGUUUACUAUCGAUAGUAUUCUAGCAAAACUCUCUCUAUAUUUAUUUAUUUAUUUAUUUUUUCUUUCUUCUCUUAUUCUUUCGCCACCUCAUUCGCCCAAUGUUAUGUUUUUGAUACUUUAUUAUGCAAUCUGUUUGUUGAAAUGUAUUUCUGAUUGGAACCUUUGUAUUACAUUGAUUGCGACGUUUAGAACGUAUAGGAAAAACUCUAUCCGUUCGGCGAUCUGUUGGUGCGUCCGAAUCUGAUCAAAUAGGCGGGACUUGAGGCGUGACAUCCAAUGACAUGACUGUCAUUAUCGUUCUCUUCGUGUGCUUUGACAUUAGUGGCCUUGACCUCUUGCAGUGACUCUGCCGCUAUAUAGAGCGCUUUUGCAUUCCAAAAUCACGGUAGCUAUUCAACACACGAAGCGUGGCGAUGCUAAAAGUCACAUGCGGACUGUUGGACGAAAUGCCUCACCGCAUCACCAUCUCGUACACCACCAUCGUACACUCCAGUAAGUAAGUUAUUAAGCCUUAUAUUUUUUUUUUUGAAAAAGAGAGAAGAAUGAAAGGAGAGAGAGAGAAUAGAAAAGUAUAACUUAUUUCAGGGAUAGAAUUAAGUUCAGAAUUAAUAUGAGAUUAGAGUAUUUUUUUAUUUGGUUGGGGGCUGGAGUUCGUCUAGAAUAGUAAAAAAUAAUAUUUGAUUGGAGUAGGUGGGAUAAGAAGAAUAGUGAAUUAUUAUGAAUAAAAAAUAAUAUUUGAUUAGCGUUUGGUCGGAUUAGGUGGAAUUAGCUAACCCCAUCCAAAAUAGACUAUCCCGGAUUAACUAACUCCAUCCAUUUUUAAAGGUGGUGGGAGAUAAUUAGGGGUUAAAAAGUUAUUUCACCCCUUAACCCCCAACCAAACAAAGAUGGAAAAAUAUAACUGAUAUUAAUUGCCCCUUUUAUUAAAAAGAGAAAGUUUCUCUCAUCUUUCUCUUUCCAAUAAAGAAGCAAUUAUUGUAGGCUAUAAAUUGUAUUUUUCUAUUCUCUCUCUUUACUUUCUCUUUCUAAUAUUUCUUCACCACAUUAAUUACUCUAUUUAUUGAAAAACAGAACUGACAUGCUUAACUAAUAUACUUUUUUUCUCGAAAUAAAAGUAAGAGUUCAAUCUGCUUUAAAAUGGUGCAAUAUAAAUAUAAAUUUCACAAACUAUGGAGCAUAAAUGUAAUAUUUAUAUAAUUAGUAAAAUAUAUGCAUAAAGUGUAAUAAUUUUUUUUUUAAUUCUAAAUUGUGCAACAUAUUUUUUCCGUUAUCUUUCUUUUUUUCUUUCUUUACCUCUUUUUUUUUUUUUUUUUUUUCCUUACACCGCUACCACCACCAAGCAAAAGAACAGGCGCGGCAUGCAAUUAGCAAUAGCAAUGUAGGAAAUGAUGAUAAGACUGUGUAGAAGAUAAUGGUGCCACUGUACAAGGUUGAGGCCAUCAACAUCGGAGUACAGAUAUUAAUGAAAAUUAAAAUUCAGUACGCUUACAAAUCAACUUGUAAACAAAUUAAUUCAUAAAGGUAUAAAAGUAUAUUUAUUUCGAGCUAUAUCGGGUAGAACAGGAGCGGGCUAACUCCAAUCCCUGUUUGGUUUCAGCUUGUUAAGAUAUCGAAGUAGACUCCAGUUAAUAUUCAGCUCAUUUGUUAAACUUAUAAUUUUAAACUCAUUUAAAAUCGAAUACAAAUUAGCUCAAGAAUAGCUACCUGAAUUAUCUGUCCUUAGCCCCAGUCAAGCUGGUUUGAGGAGUAGUGCCAUGUCCUUACAACUAACUCGACAACUACAGCAGCAGAUAUCUCACCAUAUGCUUUAGUUUGGAAGCAUUGAUCAAUCCAAAAUUUUCAGGAAUAAUUAAAGAAAAAGCUAAAUUACAGAAAAUAUUCUUGUCAAUACUUUUUUUUUAUUUUUUUUCUUCUGUUAUUUAAAAAUCUAUAUUUUGCCAUUUAAAAAAAUCAGAAAUAUUCACUCUGGCCUCUGCCGUCAGUAUUCCGUUAGGAUUCCAUUUAUAUUCUAUUAUAAUAUAUUUUUUAUACUCAAAAUACUCUCAGCCUCCUCUUCUGAUCGGUAUUGCCGCCUUCCUUCUCGCCACCCACGCCGCCUCGCCCUACUUCGCCACUUUUCCCUCCUUCGCUGCCUCGCCCUCGCCGACCCCUCCAUCCGUGCUCACACAUACGCUCUCGCGCUCCUUUGCCGUCUCGCCCUCGCCCUCGUCCUCGCCCUCGCUCACCUCUCCAUCUAUGCUCACCCCAAUCUCCUCCUACCAUUGCCGAAAUGAAGGAGCGACGAGGGUGCAGGAGGAGUGGAGGAGCAGGUGGAGAAAAUGGAGUUGGAGUUGCAAUUGAGCGAGGUGCGAAGAACAGAAGAGGACAGAUGAUGGUCGAGCAAGAUUGGAGACGAAGAUGGUGAAGGCAAUUUGUUCAUUUCGCUAUUACAAUUAACACCGUAUCCCCUGUGAACAUUUCUAAUUUUUUAAUGAGGUAAAAUGCAGGUUUUUAAAUGCCAGCGAAAAAAGUGAAAAAACGAGUAUUUACAAAAAAAUUUUAUAUAAUUUAACCUAAAAAAAAAAUUAAAAAUAUAGAAACAAUGAGGGUUGAGGCAUAUACCUUUAUUAGAAUAUCUGGGCCGGCCAAUACGAUUUAAUAAAAUUAGACAAAUCACUUUUAAAUGAAGCAAAAUUUAAAUUAGUACUAACCAUUUUUUUAACUUAGACAUUUGUAAAAGUUUGAAAGGGAGCAAUGCAAUUAAGCUUCUCAUCAGUAAGAAAAGAAAAUUUUGAUUAAUAUACUUUAAAAAAAUAUUUAAUUAUAAAAAAAGAUUGUAAUAUUAUAAUAUUUAAUAUUUAAUAUUAUACAUAAUUUGGAGUUCGGAUAUAGAAAAUAUAUAAGUUAAGUAAAAAAAAUAAAUGAUUUAAUAUUUUUAUAAAAAUGGUUUAUAAAUGGUGAAUUAUCCUUAAAUCUAAUUUUAUAAAUAAAAAUUUUAUAGGGUUAAGACAUAUUUGAGGUGGUUGAAUACAGGAAUCAAAUUAUAAUUGCUUUUCCUUUUUUUUUUUUUUUUUUUGUGACACUGCUAUCUGAUCCGUAGGCCCUUGCGACCUAAAAAAAUUCUAGAAUACAACAUUUAUACUACUGAUAUGGUGUCUUCAACCAAUAAUAAAACUUUCUUAAGAUUCAUCUAUCCCUUGAGCAAGUGGCAAAGAAUUUGAUGGUUGAUAUCUGAGACCCAAGUUGGAAUCUUAAUUGAUUCACAUUUUCAGAGCGGGUAGCGUGCUACCUAUCUUUCAAAAAAAAAAUCACCUAUCCCAUCAUAGUAUUUUAAAAAAUAAUUUUAUUAUUCUUUUUUUUCAAAGGAGAGAUAAAAUUAUUUAAAAAUAAAUGAUGUGAUAUAAGUAUUAUACAAUAGACUUACUCCCAACCCACCCCACCCAAACACACACAAGUGCACAACCAAUAACACUCCAGUAAGGUCCGCAGUUAGAUCCAUAAAUAUACGCACACACCAAAGUCGAAUCCCUGACCUCCGGUAGCAGCAGUUAUUUACACCGGUUGUAAAUUGAUGAGAAAGAUUACAUAAUAUUUACAUCACAUUAUUUAUAUUUAGCUUGCUAAUUAUAUUUUUUAAAAAAAUAUAAUAAAAAUAUUUUUUUAAAAUUUGUAAUAUAAUGAAUAAAUUUUAGAAUAAUUGUUUGAUUAAUUGAGAACACGGUAUCAGUGCAUUCUAAAAUUUUCCGUACUCGGACAUGUUCUAAGCAUACUGGCUUAUUUAUCAUUUGUAUUUUGUUCCACGUUCAAUAAAGCAAAAAAUUUUACAAUGUGUUCGGUCACAAUCCAAACAAUUAUUUUUUUUCUUAAAUUCAUCCAUUUCAUUAAUUUUAUAAAAAACAUAUUUUAUUAUACUUAAAAAAAAUAUUUAAUUUAUUACUAAGACAGUGCUUAGUUCGGGAAUAGAAAUAUAAACGGUUCGGGAAUAGAAAUAUAAACGGAUCUUGAUUGGUGGAAGUCCCAUCCUGGAUGGUACAGUAAAUAGGAAAAAAUAAACGAAUUCGGAACAAAAAAACAAAGUAAUUUUUAUAAUCUAAGGCGGAUUCAGGAGGGUAGAAAACAGGAGAAACAUUGAUCUGUCCUGAAUCCACCCCGUUAUGAUCCGUCCCGAAUUCGCACUGAAAAUAAUUUAUAUUUUUAAAAAAAUUUAAAAUAUAAAUAAAUUAGUACUCUUAUUUUUUAUGUAUUUGAAUUUUUUAAUUUUCCUUCGAAUUGUAAUUGAUAUUUUUAUUUUUUAUAAUUAAUAUUAUUAAUUAUAUAUAUAAUAUUAUUAAAAAAUAUUAAUUUAUAUUUAAUAAAAUAUUAAUAAUAUUAUAGUUUUAUAAAAAAAUAUUAGUUGGGAGCAUAUUUGGAGCGUGAGCCGAAGGUGGCUAUGGAGAAAUAUAUUUUUUAUCUCGUCACGAAUUCGGAGUUAUUUACAAAAUAAGUGGUUCUUGUCUGUACACGACCCAAAACGGAGCCCAACGGUUGAUGUAGCAGGACCGCUGCAAUGAAGACGUCCUCCAAUAAUGCAUCCUCGUGGGUCACGCAAUCACUUUCUUCCCUUAUCCUUAUCUAAAUAAAUCUAUAAAAGGGCAACCGGUACGCCGCUCUCUCCGCAUUCGACGGUCCCCGUUGACGGCGCGUGAGGGGAGCUGGCGGGGCUCACCGUGGUUCCUGCACGUGGUCCAUGACUCAUGGUGGACCGGGUGAGGGAGAGGGGUAGUGGACCCCCGGCUGUGGGAGAGGAGGUGGUGGGCCCCUCUGAGGUGGUGGGCCCCUCUCUCCCUUUUCGAUCGCGCGCGCGCGCGUCUCUCUCUUACAUGUGUGUGUAUUGGAAUUUUAGCUUUUUAUUUUUUUAGAUUUACUUUUGGAUGUUAGAUUUAAUUCUUUUAAUCUAAUACAAUGCCGCUUAGGAUUAAUUAUCUUAUUAUGUUAUCAUCUAUUUAGUUUUUUUUCAAAUUUUCAUAUGUCUUGAUGUCAUCGCAAUAAAUUACUUAAAAUUAAUUUAUAUUAGUUUAUAAAAUUUCAUAGUUGAAAAAAAUUAAAUUAAAAAUUAUAAUAAAUUACUAUUGUAUUUGCUUCUCGCCGCAACGCGCGCGUUACCUUAACUAGUAAAUAAAUAAUUUGACAACUUUUUUAGGCAUACGUGGUAAUUUUUUAACUUCUUGACUCCUUUCUAAGAGUGGUCCAGUAGCUUGGACUAACUCCUUUUCAAUAAAAUUUUUUUUAUCUUUUUAAGAUAAUUUUGAAAAUUUUCAAGACUGCUCUUUUCUUUCCAAGAAAAGCCUUUCAGCUGGCUCCCUCUUUCUCUCUCUCUCCUCCUCUCCCCUACUCUCCCUCUCUCUCUCUCUUUCUUUCCCUCUCUAUGUUAGCCCCCCUCUCUCUCUCUCUCUCCUUAUUAUUUAUUAAAAACAAUAAAAAAGAGAAAAAGAAAACCCAAGAGGAAAAACUCACGCGACGUACGUGGUGGCGGGCGUCUCGAACCCGGCGCGGCACGUAUCGCAGAAGACACGGCCCCGGACCACGAACCCUCGCUUGAGGCCGCGCCCGCCGCGCAUGUGCGAGGGAGAGCAGCAGCGCCGCCACCCCCACGGCAGCGGCGGCGGCGGAGAUCGUCGGGAUCUGAUGCUUCGCCAUGGCCGCGCGCGCGUGCGAGAGAGAGAGAGAGAGAAGAGGCGGUGACGGGAAUCGAGUAGAAAAGUUGGAGAAUAGAAGAGAGGGGCAUGCAUGCUCCCUUUCUCUUUCUUUUUUCUUUUUUCUUUUGUUACUGUUCUCCCUCUUCUCUGGUUCCUUCUUAUCUAUACUCUUAUUCCUUCUAUUUUUUAUUUUUUAUUUUUUCUUAUUUCCUUCUUCUUCUUCUUUUUUAAGUGUGUUGUUGUAGGUGCAAAAUUGGGAGAAUUGGAAUAGGUGAUGAGGACGGCGAUGGCCGCUUCGCUAGCAACAGCAGCAGACAGCAGGGCGGCGGAGGUGGCUUCGGCGGCGUCAAUGCCGAUCGCCUCGCCUAACCUCGAUCUCGCCUCACCAUUAAAGAAUUUUAGCAUUUGCUUAGCUUUUAUUACUAUGGACAUCUUAUAUACCCACAACAGAGAAAAAAAUAAAUUAAAAAAAAUUAAAAAAAGAGAUGACUUUUACAGAUGGCAGUAAGAUAGUUCUUUAUCCAGAUUUAUACAUUUUUUUAUUUUUUUUAUGAUGAAAAUAUAACAAAAUGAUGAACAUAUUAUGUGUCAUGUUAAUUUUUUUUUUAUAUUUUAAAAUAAAAAGAAAUGAUGAGAUUGUGUAUUGAAUGUAUGAUCCAGCAUAUUGCAUGGGAGAAGAGAAUGCUGAUGUACUGGUUGAAACAUUAAAAAGAUCUUAUUUACCCUCAAAAAAAAAAAAAAAAAAAAAAAAANAUAAAGCUACAAGUAGAAAGCAUUUUGACUACAUAAUUGAAACAAAUAAUAAUUAAAGCUGUUGCCAAAAAAGCAUUUUGAAUUCAGUGGUGUAUCCACAUAACUGUUUUUUUUUUUUUUUUUUUUUUUCCGCAACUUUUCUAGAGCAUAUGAUUCAUUUUUACUUUAUGUAAUCUUAAUUUUUCUUCAUCAUAGUGUAAGAAGAAAAAUACAAUAUCUCGGUGAAUUUUUUUUUGUUAAAUAGAAAUGAUCACAUGCUCUACAAUUUUUUUUGGGCAUAUAUUCUUUUUUUUAAAUCUCUUUUUAUUUAUUUUUUUUAAACUAUAAAUUUCUUUGUUUUAUUUUUCUACUUAAUUGUUUCAUUAUAAUUUUACUUAACUAUGAAUAAAAUUAAUCGUUAACUGCAACGAGCGCGAGUUUUAAACUAGUCUUUUAACUAAGGGAGAAAUCUCGAGAAACAGGCCAGCAGGAUGCGACCAUAGCGAGGUCAAUAUCACCAAAAGAAACAAAACAAGAAACAGAAUUUGUGGUUGUUAUCCGAGAUCCAAGUUCGAAUCCUAAUUGAUUCACCGAUCGUUUCUAGAGCAAGUGGCAAAAGACUUAGAUAGUGUUUGGUUGGGGAACAAAGGGGGAAAUAAGCUCUUAUUCCCCCUUUUGUUCCCAAACGCAAUAUUUGUUGCCCGGGAACAGUAGUUCCAGGAUUUCAAGAACAAGCAGGUAUAAGGCUGAAACUGCUGUUCCAUCUUUUUACUGAAACAAACUUGUUCCUUGAUGAGAACAAGAUUAAUUAAAAUCUAAAUUUAAUUUUAAUAAUAGUAAAUUAUUAAUUAAUCUAAUUAAUAUAUUUAAAUUAUUAUUUAUUACUUUAAUUAAGUAAUUAAUUAAUUUAUUAUUUAUAAUUAAUUAAUAAUAAUUAGAUAAUUAUUAUGAUUAAUUUAUUAUUGAUAAUUAAUUAUUAAUUAUUAAUAAUUAAUAAUAUUUAUUAUUAUUUAUUAAUAAUUACUAUCCUUAAUAAUUAGAUAAUCGAUUGUAUUAUUAAUUUAUUAUUUAUAAUUAAUUAUUAAUAAUUAUUAAUUAGACAAUCGCUAUUAUUAUUAAUUUAUUAUUUAUAAUUAAUUAAUGAUAAUUAAUAAUUAUUAUUAUUAUUUAUUAAUAAUUAUUAAUAAUUAUUAUCCUUAAUAAUUUAGAUAAUCGAUAUUAUUAUUAAUUUAUUAUUUAUAAUUAAUUAUUAAUAACUAGAUAAUAAUUAUAUUAAUUUAUUACUCCUAAUUUAUUAUUAAUAAAUAUUAAUAAUAAUUAUAAUAAUUAGAUAAUCAAUGUUAUUAUUAAUAAAAAUUAGAUAAUCGAUAUUAUUAUUAAUUUAUUAUUAAUAAUUAAUUAAUAAUAUUAAUUAAUAAUUAUUAUUUUUUAUUAAUAAUUAUCAAUUAUUAUUAUAAUUAAUUAGGUAUUCAAUAUUAUUAAUUUAUUAUUUAUAAUUAAAUAUUAAUAAUUAAAUUAUUAUUUAUUUUUAAGUAAUAUUUUGAUGUUAAUUAAUUACAUAAUACAAAUUUAAUUUCAAAUUAUAACUCUUAUUUCUCUUGUUCCAAUCUAACCAUCCAAACACUAUUUUUCUUAUUCCUAGAAACAACCCAAUUUUCAUCCAAACACAAAAUUGGUCUAGUUCCUGCUUAUACUUGAACUUGUACCUAUUCCUGAAACUAGCAAUUCUUACUUAUACCCGAACCAAACGCAGUCUUAGUGGUUGGUAUCCGAGACCCAAGUUCAAAUCCUAGUUAAUUCACACUUCUAGCUAAGUUUAUUUCUAAAUGAAAUAAACGAAGCGGGUAGCGUGCAACCUAUCUCUCAAAAAAAAAAAGAAAAAAAAAGAAAAAGGUUUUCAACCGUAUCUAUUAGAUUUGAAGUAGAGAACAGAAUUAGUUGGGUGUAAUUGAAAAAUUUUAGUAUAAAAUUAAUUGGAUAUAGUUGAGGAAUCUUAAAAAUUUUUAUCUUAUUUUAUUUUUUGUACACAUUGAUCAAUAUGAGCUAUAUAUAUAUUAUACUUAAUUAUAAAUAAAUAAAUAUAUAGAGAAAUUAUUAUUUCAAACUCUCAAAUUCUUACAGUAUAUUUCAAAAAGAAUGAAAAUAUAAGCUCAUGUAUAUAUAUUUUAGUACCAAAUUAACCGUUUGUUUUGGUAUAAGUAAGUGAUAAAAUUCAAUUUUUAUUAUUUUUGUUAUUUAUUUUGGUGUAAGUUAAAAAUAUAAUAUAACUCAAGUUACGUUAGAUCUCUAUUUCACCUACUUUCGAUUUUUUUAUCUAAAGUGCCGACUUUCGCCACAUUCAAUCUCCUAUAAAAAAUUUAUUAAAUAGUAAAAUCUAAACUCUAUUUAUAAUAAAUUAGAAUUGUCUUUAAAUAAUAAUAAAAAAAUUAAUGAUAUAAUAGGUUAAAUUUUAUAACGAGAAAUUUAUCACUAUAUUUUAGAGGUAACGAAAUUCACUUACUUACAUCAAAACAGACAACGAAACUCAAAAAAUUAAUUUUACAACACCUAAGUUACUCCAAAAUAAACAAAAGAAGUAAUUAAAUUUAACUUUCAGAUCGUACGAGUUACGUUAAAACAAACAAUAAAAGAUUAAUCACACUUCAGAAAAACUCAAACACCAUUGUAUUUGACUUAUAUUAGAUCUACAGAUUCGUCAAUCUAAACACCCCGUAACCGUAAAUUACAUAUAAAUAUAAAUCUUAUAUUUUUCAAAUUCUAAAUUUACAAAAUUUUAAGUAGAAUUUUAGUUAAAAAGGAAAAAAAAAAAAAUGAAAGGUAGCAUUACUCUGUGAAAAAUAUAUCAGUAAGAAUUAACGGCAUGUUUUCUAUCCCAUUAGCCCUUGAAGGUGAGCACAAAUGGAUAAUAUUAAUUUUGAAUGUUGCUAUUGUUGUCAAUUCUGCAAGCUGCUCACGGUAGAGAUCUUCUCGAUCCGGAUAUAUAUCAUCCAAUAACCAGCGGCAGUUUAAAACCAAAAAUUUAAAACGAAGAGAAAAAAUUUGAGGCUUAAAUUUAUUUAAUUAAUCAGGAGAUAAUCUGAACAAAGAGAAUUAAGCGGAAAGGGCCUGGAAACUACUGCAUUGAAACGAAACUGCAACAAACAUACCGUCGCCACCGGCGGCGAAUAAUGCGAUUGGGAUCACUCCGCCGCCUUCCGCCGCAGCCGUGCCGCCUCCAAUUCCUUGAUCAGCGCGGCGAUGUCCUCGUACGUCGACCCGCCCUCCGCCACCGCCCUCCGCGCCUUCUCGCUGUAAUCCUUCACCCGCUCCCUCGCCCGCUCCGCCGCCUCCCACGCCCCUCCCCCCGCCUUCCCCACUACCUCCGCCACCUCCGCCGCCGUCACCAGCACCCUCCCCUCGCCCUCNCCUCGCCCGCUCCGCCGCCUCCCACGCCCCUCCCCCUGCCUUCCCCACCACCUCCGCCACCUCCGCCGCCGUCACCAGCACCCUCCCCUCGCCCUCGCCCUCCUCCUCCUCGCUGGGCUUGAUCCUCCGCACCCCCUCCGCCCACAUCCGCACCCCGACCCCCAUCACCUCCACCACCAGCUCCUGGUUCACGAACUGGUCCUGCCCCAGCGGCCACGUCACCAUCGGCUUCCCCGCGCACACCGCCUCCUGGAUCGAGUUCCAGCCGCAGUGCGUCACGAACCACCCCACCGCCGCGUGGCCCAGCACCUCCACCUGCGGGACCCACCCCACCACCACCAUCCCCCUCCCGCCCGCGGCCCGCACUCCCCCCUCAUCCCCCUCCAACGCCUCCGCCGCGGCAGCCGUCCGCCGCACCGCCCAGAGGAAGGGCCUUCCGGAAGCUUCGAGCCCCCUCGCGAUCGCCCGCAGCUGCGCCGCGCCGAAGCGGCACAUGCUCCCGAAGCACGCGUAGACCACCGACCCGGCGGGGUGGGAGGAGAGGAACCCUAGGAUCCGCUCCCGAUCGGCGGGGUUGAGGAGCGCGACGGGGCCGACGCACCAGGCGCGGCCGCGGGCCUUGAGGCGGUCCACGUACUCGGGCUCCAUCUCGCGGAACGUGUUGGUCACCACGCCCAGGCUUUUAGCUCCGGCGAUGCCGAUGCGCUGGAGGAACGGGAAGUCCCCGAACGUCUCGGGUAGGGUCUCGCGGUAGACGCGGGUCGGGUGGGGGAGGUCCGCGACGACGACGGACUCGGGGAGGGGGAAGUAGCGGCCGAGGGAGGAGAAGACGAAGUAGGGGAACGCGCCGGCGGCGUCGAACAGGAGGCGGGGGAUGCCGAUCUCCGCGGCGACGUCGACGGUCCAGGGGAGGAGGCCCGGGGAGACGAGAGCGUCGGGGCGGAGCUCGGCGAGGAGGGAGGAGAGGUCGGGGGAGAGGUGGUGGAGGGAGGUGAUGACGCCGAAGAACUUGGCAGGGUGGCCGAGCGCGGCGGAGGCAUCGACUGUGCGGCGGAUGGAGGCGGCGUUGGCCGGGGUGGUGGCGAUGGUGCAGCGCACGCCGCGGCGCGCGAGGAAGCGCGCGACGUCGACCAUGGGGAUCGUGUUCCCCGGGUUCAUCAGGGGGAAGAAGACGACGUGGGGGGCAUCGUCGUCCCCGGCGGCGGAGGCGGCGGCGGAGGGAUCCAUCGACAACGCGGCGCGGUCGCGGCGAGAUCGGGGGAAGGGGUUUGGUUAUGAAACUAAUUUGAGACCCAAAAAGCAAAAAAAAGGGGAGAUCUAAGACACAGGCAGUGAGAAAGAAGUGAUGUUGACUUCCACAUUUAAUGGUAAACUCAGCAAAAAAUCUAGAAUGCAACUAGUAUAUUAGUGACGUGGCGUAACAAAUCAAUCAAAUUAAUUUUUUAAAAAAUAUAUGUCUCAUCAUAAUUGUAAAAAAAUAUUUUUAUUAUACUUUUGUUUCAAAAGAAGGAAUGUGAUUGGUUUGUUAUUGAUGACGUGGUGUUAGAAUUCCUCGAACUCCAGAAACUAUAUAGUAACUUCACAUACAGUUUCAGAUGCAAGUAGGAAAAAAAAUUUGACGAUUGAUGAUCCCAAAUUAAAAUUUUAGUUGAUUCAUAUUUAUAAUUAAAUUUAUUUUUAAAUAAAAUAAAUAAAAUUUUUUAUUAACAUAAUUUAAUUUAUGAUUUUUUUGAAAGUUGACUACUUUUAGUUAAUUAAAUAAAAAAUUUAACUUUAAUGAUGGUCGAUUUAAAUUUGAAUCAAUGUGGUGCAUCUUUUUUUUUCACUUUGCCAUCUUUUGAUUUAAAAUAUUACCUCUUAAAUAUUCUAUGGUUUAGCUUAUUUUUUAUUUUGUAAUUUUUUGGUUCAAAAAUUGGCAUUUAACUACUAUAUAAUUAUCAAAAAAAAAUUAUUUUGCUAUAUUUUGUAUAAUAAAUUUUUUUGUGAAAAUAAAAGUAUAACCACUUAAUAGUUAAGUAUAAUUUUUUAAACCACAUGAUAAUUAAGUGAAAAUAACUAAAUUUUAAUUAAAGUUUACUCUUUUAAUAAUUUUAGCAAAUAAAAGUUUUUAUAUUUAAGAAUAAGAAUUAAUAACUGAUAGAAUUAUAAAAUUUAGAUACUUUCUGUUAAACUAAUUCAAAUAAUUUAAAUUUAGACUAAUUAAAAGUUAAGUAAGUGUCAAUGAUAAAUCAUUGAUUCUAUUUCAGAAUAACCUACAUUUUGAUAGGUCUGAGUAAGUUUCAAUAGAUCUAAUCUAAUUAAAUUGCGAAGCGUGCGAAACUGGAAUGGUGGCGAACGCGGUGGCCCACGUGGUAAGCAUCCACCGUCCAAUUAUUUUUCUCACUCGAAUCUCCGUCGUCCGUAUAUGGACGGUGGGGAUUACACAUCGAAAAGUUGCUCGGUGGAUAGCACGCGUUCGGCAUGGUCUGUGUUUCGUACUUGGGAGCAGAGUUGCGUUGCUUUCAUGGGCCUUCUCGCGGCCCAUUAGGGUUUCGCUCAAUCGCUUUAAAAGCUGCGCUAAUACACAAUCCAAUUCCUUCGCUUUUAGCCGCCGCAACUUCGUAGGGUUUUGAUACAGAGAGGGAGAGAUAGAGGGGGAGGACGAAGAGGAGGCGAUCUCUAGGGUUUUGAGAUCUCGGGAUGGUGGCGUUUAGGGUUGGUGUUUCCCUCUCCUCCUCUGUCUCAUCCUUCAGUUCCACCAUCUAAAUGCUAUGGAUCUAACGAUUUGAUCUUGGUUUCAUCGUUGUUUGAACAGUUUCACCAGUACCAGGUGGUGGGGAGAGCGCUCCCCUCGGAGGGCGAUGAGCACCCGAAGAUCUACCGGAUGAAGCUGUGGGCCACCAACGAGGUCCGCGCCAAAUCCAAGUUUUGGUACGCUUCGCCAAUGAGAUCAUUUAUUUGAUCUUUGAUCUGUUAUAGAUCACUCCCUUUGAUGCUUCAUUUGGAAAAGAAGUUUCUGAUUCUGAGCUACUCUAGGUACUUUUUGAGGAAGCUCAAGAAGGUGAAGAAGAGCAAUGGACAAGUUUUGGCGAUCAAUGAGGUUGUGUUUCCUUGCAUUUCUUUUUCAUCAAUUGUUAUCAGGAUUUGUUUUGAUCAGUAUAGUUGUGUACAAGUUUGGUUGGAUUUAAUGUACUUAAACGAUGUAUAUUUAUCUUUAUAUCUUAUGCUUUUCCAAAUUUAGUUUUUUUAGGUCGUGAUUUUGUUGGUUGCGGUCUAAAAUGGAUUUAGAAUGGAUUAUUAGACUUGAGCACCAGUUUUAAACUUUUGGAAAGCCAUAAUGUGAUUAUAUGUAAGAUGAAGAUCACUACUCAAUAAUGCUUCUCAUGUAUGACUGUGGAUAUCUCGAUUGUUUCGUUCUAGGUUUGUAGCUGUCGAUGGCAACCGAAAGUUUUUAAUAGUGUGGUGUCUAUAUGUGGCUGCAUAUUGUAAUAAAGCUUAGUAGUAGAGAUUGAGGUUAUUGCUUUGCUGCCAUACUUGAUAUCACCUUUUCUCAAAGCUUCGGGAAAGUUUACCUUGUGCUAAAACUUAUAGAUCUUUUUGGCACAUUGUUUAUCAUAUUUCUUAAACAUUUAAGUGCAUUUCUGUGAGGAAGUUGAAUGAUCUGUGGAACUGUAGUAUAGCUGUGCUCAUACGCGUCACUAUAAUGAUCAGGUUAUGCUCAUUUAUUAAGUAUUUGAGGAUAAGUUAUUUGUCAUCCGUGAAUUGUAUCGAAGUUUUAAUGUCCCAGUUUUAGCCAGUUUAUAUGGUUAUGCACUUAUGCUACUCGUUCAGAUUUUUCAGUUCUUAUCUCUUUUGUGGUUUACGGAAGAAUUUUAGUACUUCUAAUCUUCAUGAGUAGGCUGACUUUCCAAUGUGAUAGUUUGAAUUUUGCUCUUUGAUUUUUGGAAGUGACCAUGAUAGUGACAAUUGCUUUGUAGAUUUUUGAACGGAAUCCAACCAAGAUCAAGAAUUAUGGCAUUUGGCUCCGGUACCAAAGCAGAACAGGCUACCACAACAUGUACAAGGAAUACCGCGACACUACUCUGAAUGGUGCUGUUGAGCAGAUGUAUAAUGAGAUGGCAUCUCGUCAUCGUGUCAGGUUUCACUGCAUACAAAUCAUCAAAACUGCAACUGUUCCUGCUAAGCUUUGCAAGAGAGAGAGUACAAAGCAAUUCCAUGAUUCCAAAAUUAAGUUCCCCCUUGUGUUUCGGAAGGUUAGGCCACCUACGAGGAAGCUUAAAACCACAUACAAGGCUUCAAGGCCCAACUUGUUCAUGUGAUUUGCUCACACUGAAUUUGAUAGCCUUGCUAGACGAGGUUGAAAGUUCAGGUGAUAGUUACAUAUAUGCAGAUUACUGUUUUCAAUUUUCUGAUUGAAAUUUUCAUUUUGGCAGUCUUUGUUUUUUUUUUUUUUUUUCCUGUUUUUAAAACUUUGUGCUUCGAAGUUUUAGUCAAUUUCAUUUGAUGAAUCACAUAAUCAUUUUGUUUAAUUGUUGUAGCUGCUAUUGUUCAGCUUUAAGUGGGAAUUUUGGGUUGUUGAGUAUGGUUGGAUUAUCUUUUUGCAUUUAUUCUGUGGCAUAUGGCAUCUGAGGUCUAUGGUCGUUCUUUAGAUUUCUUUUGUGUUCUUGUUUAUUGUCCUGCUAGGCACGUCACUACAUUAUCUUUUCAGCACCCGUAUAUGAAAUGCCAUUACCUUUUCGAUACUAAUAAUGAUGUAAUCUUGCUUGAAAAACCUACUUAUGUUGAUUAAAUUUUGUUUGACCUGGGGUUUAAGCUGUCGUUGAACUUGGUGAUUCCAUAUUGUGUGAUGCAUGUAGAACGGUUAGAACCCAUGAAUGUCUGCAUAGUAGCAUUCAAUUUGCUCUUUUUUUUAAAAAAAAUCAUCGGAGGGCAACUUUGCCGAGGUUACCAAUAUUUUAUUUGGUUUCCUUUUUUUCCCUGUUGCCUAUAUUACUCUGCUUUUGGGUGUUUGAGUUCCAUUUAUCUGUUUAUCUGGUAUAUGGCGAUCACCCUUGCAGACAUGUAUCAAUAAAACUGCCUAUUAUUUUGUCUUAAAGGUCUGGUAUUUGAUUUUGGUUGUUGUUUUUGGUUUUUCCAAGUUUAUAAUUCCACCUGCUCCUCUAUGUUAUGAGCACUUACUCCUAGGUUUGGUUUGUGGAAGUGCGAUCCCUCCCAAAUGAACCUUAAAUUUAGCUGGAGAGCAGUGCCACCGGGUGUAAUGCUUCAUAUUUACUUGCUAGUCUUAUCAAAUUUUUCGAAAUACUUUAGCCGGAAAGAGGUUUUUAAAACCUUGGACGUGUCAGAUUUACAAGCCAUAAAUGGAUUGUAGGGGUUGCUUUAUUUUUUUUGUUUAUAUUUUUGUGGGGGGAACAAAUUUUAUGCUCUGUUGUCCCAGCUGUACUGGUUAUUUGGUUCUCCUUCAGAAAACCCAUUUACGAUCAACAUAAGUUACCAGAGAUUGAAGAAUUGAAUUAUGAUCUUUGCUAUUGAAGGCUGAAAACUAGUACUUUUGAACAAGCAUACUCAUCUAUUCACUUUGACUUAGUGGUUUAUUAGGUAAAAUGAGUGCAAGACUGCUUGAUCGGUUAACUUUUCCAGUUUUUAAAAACUUGGUUUGUUAAGGUGUACUGCUAAUAAUCAAUCAUCUUGACCUAUCAUUGCAGUUGAGACGAAAUUGUUGUACUACUAAUAGUAGAUCAUCUCAAACUAUCAUUGUAGUUUAGACGAAACCUGCUUUGUUGACUUAUGCUGCUAAUAAUAGAUCAUGUUCCUAUCAUUGCGGAUCGUGUUCCUAUCAUUGCGGUUGAGUGUUCCUAUCAUUGCGGUUGAGAUGCUGAUCUGUAGUGUGAUGUUUCAAAUCUGAGCAAUCGCUUAAAAUAUGUUUCUAACCUUUCUGAUGUUCCCUCGGUUUUGUUUGGGCUUUUAAAGAUUAAUGUCAUCGUGUGUGUUCUUGAUUCACGGGUCUGAUUUGUCUACAGCUACUUGUAUAAAAGAAUUCUACGCAUCCUAAAUGAGUACGAUCGCUCAAAAGUUGAGGAUUAUGAUCUGUUUUUUUUACACCGUGCGGUGGAAUCACAAAAUUUUGUGCCUAACCUGAAUGACAGAAAACGGGGAUUGGGAGUCACACUCUCCCAACUGCCCAUUGAAUAGAAUACAGCCCAUUGGAUGGAAUACGGGCUCUGACAGCAGAAAAUUUGUAAAUUUUAGCAUCUCUGAAAUUUCAGAAAAAGAAAUGCUACUGACUGGUGAUAUUUAUAUUUUACUAGAGCUUUUUUUUACAUUUGGCCGACUCAAAAAAAUUAUUUUUAUAAAUAGUUUUAUCAAGUUUAUAAUUAUAAAUUUCUCCUAUUCUCGCCACUUAGGCGCCACAUUAGCACCACACAAGCUGGUUGGGGAAGGACGUUUGCUUGGAAAGGGACGUUAAGUUUAACACGAUGAAUCAUUUACUGUGUUCAAACACGGUGAACCAUUUACUGCGUUUCAUACUUAUAUUCCUUCAUCGUGUUUAGAUAUAGUUAAUAGAUUACCGUGUUCAACUUAUUCUAGUACCUUCAUUCUUGUUUGUGUGGCGUCUGUGUUGCGGGAUAGAGCAACUCUUUUAGGGGGCCAAUUGCAAAAAAAGAGCCCAUUUUACCACAAUUCAUUCUAGAAUUUGGACAAUUUUUUUUUUUAGAUUUUUAGUGUUAAAAACAUAAUAAGAUUAGUGUAAAAAUAUUAACUCUUCGACAGUGACACUAUAAGAUAUAUACCCGAAAGUAGGUGUAUGGGUGACAUUGCUCUUAAAAUUAUAUAUGAGACACUUUAAAAUUAGAAUAUAUGAUAUUGAAAAUCUUGGAAAGAUUUUAUUUUUAAAAAUUAUAAAUUAUAAAUAUUAAUUUUUUUAAAAACAGACGAAAUGCCGUUCUAUCGGAUAUUUUUAGAAUAAUAUAUUUAGUUCUUGAAUAAUAAGUUUUAAAACAUGCUAUAAUUAUUUUUUUUUUGAGUGUGAAAUUUAAUUUGACCCCAUUAGAGGCUUGUGUUUUUUUAAUAUUUUGUUAAAUUAUAUACAAAAAAAACUUAUACCCUAUCUAGGUUUAUCGAAUAUUUACUUUAGUACCCUUUAAUUUUAAUUUUGUCACUUUUUUUAUUUUAGCAUUUUAUAAUUUAAAAUAUAUUAUUUUUAGGGAUAACUUCAAAAACCCCGUGGUCUCGCACUUUCUAACUUUAGUACUCUGUGAUUUAAAGUGUAUUAAUUUGCUCCCCUAUGGUUUCGUUUUUUCCCUUUUUUUUUAUCAAUUUUAUUAUUUUUUUUUUCUAAAAUCAGUGACAAAAUUAAAAUUAAAGGGUACUAAAGUAAAUAUUCGGUAAAUCUCGAUGGGUACUUGAAGUUUUUUGUAUAUAAUUUAACGAAACAUUNGUUUAAAAGGUUAUACUUAAUCAUUCCAUAAUUUUAUUCUUAUUUGAUCAUAAAAUCUUAUUGUUAAUCAAAGUAGGGCUACUAUAUUCUUAUUAGUAUAGAGCCUUUCGUAUUCAUAAGUUGUUUUCAAUGUUGGGGCUUCUGAAUCGACGAUUUAACCGUUAAACAUGAUAUAUUUGAAACUUUUAGAAAAUAAAUUUCAUAAUUUUUCGAAACCAUUAUAAAGUCCAUCAAGCGGGUAUAAAAUGAACGAUCAAAAUCGAACGAUAUCCUAAAAUUAGAUGAUCGGAUUCUUCAAUUUAAGAUCGGAAUUAUUGAUCUUUAUUUAGGUAGUGAAUAGAAUUUUCUAUAAAAAUUCAACAUAUUCCGAUUUUUUUACAUUGUUGAACUAGCAAAUAUCUCAUACCGAUCGUUAAAAAUUAUCAAUUUUGUGAGCUUUUGAUCGUAAGUUAAAUGAUAUAGAAAAAUUAUAAAAUUUGAUUUCUAGAAGUUUUAAAUACUCUUAUUAAUGUUUAACGGGAUGGAUCGUCGAUUCGGAAGUCUUAUUAUUGAAAACAACUUAUGCGUACGAAGUCGAUCGUACUCAUGAGAGUAUAGUAGCCGGACUCUGUUAAUCAAGAUAGCAAAAUAAUAUCUUUUGCAAACCACUUCCUCCUAUAAUCUUUAUUAUUAUUAUAUUACCUCAUGGUUUUCAAAAAGUAUUAUUUUACUAACAUAUAUAGUAAUAAAGAGUUAAUUUCAUACAGAUCCUUACAAAUAUAGCGAAUUACAAAUAUAUUUAUACCAAGUUCAGCUUAUGUUAUUUCCGUAAAAGUCCCAAUAUUUUCAAAUAGGUCCCUGCCGUGAGGAUCCAUAGAAAAAAUUUAUUAACCGUAGGUAAAAUAUUUAAUCUUAGUUAGUUAAUGAGGUAAAUUGACCAAACUCCUCUUUAAUUAACAACUGAGACUUUUGAAAAGACAUAUUUAUAAUAGUAAAAAGAUCAUUUCACUUAUAAAAUAAACAGUAUUUUAACGGUAAUAAACCAGAGGGACAUAUUUGAAAAUAUUAAUACUUUUAUAGGAAUAAUAUAUAAAAGUUGAAUUUUAUAAAAAUAUAUUUAUAAUUUAUUAUAUUUGCAUGGAGCUAUACGAAAUUAAUCCUAAAAUUAUUCGUUGAAAUAAAAAUGUAAUAUAUAUUUUUUAAAUUAUAGAAUAGUAAAAUAAAAAUGUGCCAAACAUUACUGUAAAAAAAAGUCGAGGUUCUCAGUUCUCUCUUUAUAUGAAAACGGAGCAAAAAAUAUUCCCCAAUUUUGAGUGUUUGCUGCAGGUUCGCUCCUCCCCUUACCUAACACCUAACCUACCCAACAGUCAACAUCUCUACUUCCUACUCUCUUGUUAGUAUUCUACCAACCCACCACCUCUUCGCAUCUUCUUAUUCGAUUUCUCUCUCCGAUCUCUUCCCAAGCUCUCAUUUCCAGCUUAAUUUGAGGUGAGAUUUGCAUGACCCCCCAAAUUCUUUUAACCCAUCUUCUGAUUCUCGCUGCAGCAAUUCGAUUUGUUCGUCCAAAACAAGUCGAUUACAGCGUUAUUUUGUUCUUAAUUUUAGCUUUACUCCUUUGGGAUCUGGCCUUUGAUGACACGGAUUUCACUGCUUGUUUCCUUCAAUCUGAGUGCUCGUCGAUUUUUAUUUUUAUUUUUUAAAAAAUUCAUUCCUGCUUUUAUUCUCGAUGAUUAUUCUUUUAUUUAUUUAUUUACUUUCAAUAGCCUUCGCAAUUUAUUAGGCUGAGUUUCCUACUUUGUAGAGGGAUGGGAUGUCUGUUUAUGUUCUUUGUUUUGAUGGAUGUCAGAAACCUGAAUGUCACUUUCGCAGUCCGUUCUGAUGAAACUGAGAUCUCAUUUAACAAUGGACCUGCGCUGGUGCGGAGAACGGUGUUCUUAAUAUUUAUAUUCAAUACAUGAGGUCUAAAUUCAAUAUUUGAAUUAAACGGGAGGAAAUUAAAUAAUAUGGACUCGAGACUUUUCUGUAAGUCCAAGAUGUGGACUUGAAUUACAUGAGACUCGGAUUCAGGACUUUCUGCUCAAAUAAUACGUUUUCACAAUCCAUCCAUUUGGAACUCGUGCAGGUCCUUGAUUCGGCGUGUUGCUUCCGAGUAGACUAAUUACACGAGAUGGCUCGAGAACAACUAAGUCCAGAGGAGGUACUUUGUAGAUCUUCUUAAUUCAGGGGUGUCGAUAAAAAGGGGGUUCCAUAAACUAACUAAACAUAACUGGACUGAUCUUUUUAUAGGUUGUUAUGGGAGAAGAGGUCAACAAUGUGAGGUUGAUCACUUUAAACCGGCCUCGCCAAUUGAAUGUCAUCUCAUCCAAAGUGGUGUGCUAUUCAUUUCUAGUCUCAUCCUCGGCGCCGAUGUUGUAGCAUUUGUUUGCAACUUCAAUUGAUGAUAUAUGUGUUACCGCAGGUUUAUCUUGUAGCUCAAUUUCUGGAGAAAUGGGAGAAAGAUGACGAUGCCGAGCUGAUUAUUUUCAAGGUAGAUGUUAUUUCAUUAGGAAAGAAAAAUAAGGAUAUGUUGUUCUAUUUUUACGCUUUACAGGGCGAUAAGAUUAUUAUAUAUACGUUCAACGUGUUUCACAUAACGUACAGGGAGCAGGCCGUGCUUUUUGUGCCGGUGGGGAUCUAAAGAUGUUCUAUGAAGGAAGAUCAGGUUACGAAGAAUAGAAUAUGAUUCCAUUUCUCGUACAAAGGCCAAUUUUAGGCGUUGAUUUCGUAUUUUUAAUGCUUUAGAGUGUAGAGGAGUUGCUUAUGAUAUGUUACUUUCCAGAUGAUUCCUGUCUCGAAGUUGUGUACAGAAUGUACUGGCUUUGUUACCACAUUCACACGUACAAGAAAACCGCGGUAAUAUUUUUAUUUUUCGGUAAUAGAAAGUUAUGAUUCUUUUGCUGAGAAUUUGCUGUAUUUGUCAAGUAAAACGUUUUGACCUCAAUUAAUAUUUAAUUUCAUCAGGUUGCUCUCGCUCAUGGAAUUGUUAUGGGUGGAGGGGGAGCUAUGGUAGUACCGUUGAAGUUUUCUGUAGUCACUGAGAAAACAGUGCGUAUUACUAGUGUAGAAAAUUUCUCCUUUAUCUUUAUCGUUUUUUUUUUUUUGUGUCGCAUCUGGUAGUUAUCAUCAUAAUUUAAGUAAAAGUGAUUUUUACUAAAUUAACUUUUUAACCGUCAUACUUUGUUUUUCAUUUAACGUACAGGUGUUUGCGCUGCCUGAAGCAGGUGUUGGGCUCCACACAGACUGUAGCUUCUCAUAUAUUCUUUCUCGACUACCUGGACAUCUGGGUGAGCAACAACUAGAAUUAGAAUUUGCAAUCUGCGAUAAUGAACAAAUAUAAAUAGAAUUACAAAAUCUUUGUCAUGUUUACUUUCAAAUAUUUGCUUUAUCGUUAGCAAAAGCUUCCUAAAAUAUUAAUUUAAUUUUUUUUAUCAUUAUGCGGCUGUUCUGAUCUACUGCUUGGGUUCUUUACAUUGUAGGUGAAUAUCUUGCUUUAACUGGUGCAAGACUGAAUGGGAAGGAAAUGGUCGCUGCUGGUCUUGCAACUCAUUUUGUUCCCUCAGAUGUAAGAUUAGCACUCAUUCGCAUUUUCCUUGGUGAUGUUUAUUAUUAUAUGUUUCUGUUCUUAUUUAGACUUUUGUAGAAAUCAUUGUGGAAGCGUUCUCACUGCAGUGACUUCAUUUAGAUUCCUGAACAAUUAGUUCCAUUACUGCUUAUGCUGAUAUUUUAGUACGAAUCAACUGAUGCUUGAUUUACACGACAGAGAUUGCAUGAGCUUGAGCAACGAUUAGUAAGUCUGGACUCUGGCGAUGCCCCUACAGUCAGAGCAGUAAUUGAAGAAUUCUCCUUGGAUGUCCGACCAGAGGAAGAAAGUAUCUUAAACAAGUAAACAAUUUAAACUAUGCAUUAAGUACAUGAUUAAUUCUUCUAUAGAUGUAAUAGACAGAGUAUAAAUUAGCUAAUACUUGCAUGCUACCUGUGUCUUUCUAGGCUUUCGACAAUCGACAAAUGCUUCUGUGGGGAGUCUGUGGAGGAGAUAAUCAAAUUGUUUGUAAGUGUCUUGCUUAACUUCCAUUUAGAAUUUGUUUUUUCCGCUUGCAAUGCCAUCAUGACAAUAUAUAUAUUCACAAGGCUUUGUUGUAAGUACUAUUCUAACAAUUUGUUACCUAUAUUCUUUCUCCAUUUUUUUUGUGUGUGUAAUCUUAUGUUUGGGCAUCUUGAGCAUUCUUUCUUUCUAUUUCGCUUGGACCUGAUUUAAAAGUGCUUUGUCGAAAGUGACCAUUUUGAUGGUUUGGUACCCGAAAAAAUUUCAAAAGCACUCUGGAGCACUACUCUUCCAAUUCUACAUAAUGCUGGGAAUUUCCACUCUGAAAGCAGUGGCUAUACUGCUCUAGAAUAUUGAGUUUUACAAUAAUUGGGUGAGUAAAUUUCCUUAUGAAUAACUCUCCAAAGUCCUGAACUAGGAAAGGUCAAGUUAAGAGCAUAUUUGUUUAAUUUGCUGUGUGACUUUGCAUGUUGAUGCGUUUUAGCUUAGAGCUGUACUUGCACCUGUAGACACUUAUAUAUCACGAAGGGAAAACUAUGAAGCUCUUCUGGUCUCCUUGGUAUAAUUUAUUCCAUUAAUGCAACUGUAAAGCAACUUCUCUUGAAGUUCAUCAAUUUUGCUCUGUACCAGAUAUAUGAUUGCUUCAUAGAUUGAUCUUUGUUUUGGCUCAUUCUUAGGCCUAGUUUGGUAGUGAGGUUCCUCUUGGGCCUAGUUUGGUAAUAUGGUGGCUAAAAUCACCACUUUUAUACUUUGAAAAGCAAAAAAAAAAAAAAAAAACAAACAAAAAAUCUAAAAGCACUUCCAAUCUUCUGUCCUUCAAUGCUAUAAAACUGUGGUGGCAACCAUCACCGUAGAAGCAUGAAUCAAUUGAAAUGGGAAUUUCUGAAAUCCUUCUGCUUUCUAAUUUUUUAAGACAAAAUAGGAAUCAAUUGAAAUGGACUUCUAUGUUCUAAUUAACGAACAAUUUUUUAUUUUUUAUUUUUGCAGGAAGCUGAAGCUAGUAUCGAAGGAAAUGGAUGGAUAGCACCAGUGCUUAAAGGCUUAAAACGAUCAUCUCCAACUGGGUUAAAGAUCAUACUAAGAUCGGUAUAAACUCCCUUCUCAUCUUUGUUAAAACUUCCAACAGUAUUUGUUUCUGCCGUAUAUAUAAAAAGCGUUGACUAAUUGGGAAAAAAAAAAAGCAAUAUGGAAACUAAAUGUAAAAAACCAAAUUGCAUUCACAAUCUCAUAAUGGCUUUUGUUUGAAUUUGAAGUACCAUUAAUGUCCGUACUCUUUUAGCCUCUUGCACCAUAUGUUUCAUACAGUGGAAUAAUUAAUUACACUUCUGUUUCUGUUAACAUAUAAGAAAAUAAAUAUAAUGUUGUAUGGUUUUGCUCUCUUCAUUCAGAUUAGAGAAGGUAGGAAGCAGAGUUUGCCUGAAUGUUUGAAGAAAGAGUUCAGACUUACCAUGAAUAUCCUAAGAUCAGUUAUUUCUGGAGAUGUUUAUGAGGUAUGGCUAAUUCUUAACCUGCCAGUUUAUGUACAUGUUUGCUUAAAAUUUAUUUGUUUACUUGCUUCAUGAAGGGCAUCCGAGCUAUCAGCAUCGACAAAGACAAUGCCCCAAAGGUACAUACCCCUUUCUCUCUCUCUCUUAAGCGAAGGUCAAAUAUGUCGAUUAUAGUGUAGAGUACAUGUGUUGGUUCAAUAUGAGAUUUUAGGAGCAUAAAAAUUUUGUGAACAUAGUUUUUAAGAGUUUGGUAUAUAGUGUGAUGAUCUAUGUAGAUUUUCAAACUUAAUGCUUGGUCAUAUAUCUUGUGAUACUAGUGCUUCAUGUCCCUUACAGUUUUGUGAUGACCAGAUGCAUGCGUAAGAGGACUCGAGUAUUAUUAUUCUUAUUUCAAAUAGUUUAGUUGCUAAAAAAUCAAUUAAGUGGAUAAUCAGUUUAUGUUUCUCUGCCAAAUCUAUUGCUAAAGAUUUAUCAUGCGUGUACUCGUGCAUACAGUAUAUAUAUGGACAUGGCGUAUUUGUUUCUUUCUCUCAUUUGUUCAUUUUAAUUGCACAGUGGAACCCACCAACCCUCAAGGAAGUGAGUGAUGAAAACAUUGAUCGCAUUUUCAAGCCAUUCAGCGCUGAACUAGAGCUACCAAUCCCAUCUGAUGAAGAAGAGUCAUGCAGGUCAUACUUUGUAAAAUUGUCCCCUCAUCUACACAAUUUAUCGUUACUUAUUUUUAAUCCUUCCCCUCUCCUCAUUUCAUAUGUUGAUUGCUUGACUUCAAUUUGCAGAUGGGAUGGGAAAUACGAAAACUCGGUCUACUCAAAAGCGAAAGAAACACAAUGAGCCCUAUCGAAAAGAAAUUUAGCCUUUGUUGUGUGCUUCUUACUCAUUUGAUGCAUAAGCUGAAUGAUUAUGUAAAGCAAUGUCAUAUGAAAACCGAAGAUGGUGAUCCUCCUGUUGAGUUACAAAUUUGAUUUUCCCAAUUUAUACAUGAAGUGGAACUAAUCUUGCAGAAUCUGAGCAUAACAUACUCUUGUUAUUUUAAUCUUGCAAUCAACAAAAUACAUAUGCAGCACUGCUUUUACUAUUUCCAUUUUUUGUCCCAAAGAGCUGCUAAAUUCCAGGAGCUUUUUAUUAGUUUCAGGUUUAAGCUCUCCAACAUUGUAUUUCAUCUAUUCCAAGCCCAAGCAACAGUACAAUCAGUUAGCAGCAACUGUUCCAAUUCUUUUUUUUGUUAGAAUCCUUUCAAAUGCUUCUUCUUGCAGAAGAAUUAAAGGUCUCAUGUUGAAUAUAAAUAUGAAAAACAUCGUUCUCUCUUAAUUUAAGAAUUUAGAGAGCAAAAGGUUCUGAGUUUAAACCCCUUUUGUCUUCUUGUUUAGUUUAAAUUUUUCCCUCAUCCAAUUUAAUUUUAUGUUUUGAAUAUAUAUUAAAAAUAUCGUUUUUUGACAGCUUAAUUUUUGAAAAACUAAGGUUGUUUUACAUAAUUUAAUAGUCUCAAAUUGAAAUUUUGUUUUUGUAGCUUAGAAAUUCAUUCGACUUUUUGCAAGAGCUAUGGGAUUUAUGUUUGCUACAUGCUUUACAUAUAUGCUGAUGAGAUUAUUAUUUUUUAUUAAUUCUAUCAGGUUACUGUAACUAUUAUCUCUAUUCAUUAAUUAAAUUACCAUCCUCACGAUUUGUAUUGAUCAUUUAAUCAAAACUUUUUAUGUCACUGUGUUCGUGAAAUGAUAUAAAUUUUUUUCUCGGAUACAAGUAUUACCUACAUGACAAUUAAUAUACCAUACGACCCAAAUCAGAGGAGAAUUUCCAUACACAUCUCAACCUUACAAAGUUUGUAUAACAUGUGGAACAUCUAGGAGAAUAUUUGGACAUGCAAAAAAGAAAAAAAAGCCACUCUUUAAUUGUUCUUAUCAUGUGGAAAAAGAUGCCAAAUUAGGUGAAAUGUCAACUUUUAUUAGAGCAUCUUCAGACUAGGAAAAGCUCACUAGGCUUUGGGUAAACUUCACCUUUUUCUUCUGUGGUUUAGCUCAUUUUCGAUCACUUAGGCUCUCUGCGGGUUAAAAGAUUGUACUUAAUUGUCCUAUUGUUUAGCUCAUUUUUUAAUUUAUCAUCAUAUGGUUCAAAAGUUAAACUUAACAAUUCUGUGAUUAUUCAAAUAGUUUACUUUGCUAUCCCUAUUCGAUAGUAAAAUUUUCAGGUAAAAUAUAAAUAAAACCGCAGAAUUGUUUUUUUUUUUCUUUUGUUUUGUUUUUUUUUUUUUUUUGAGAGAGAGAAAGGUAGCACAUUACCUGCUUCAUUCAUUAAGAAAGUGAAAUUAGUUAUAUGAAGUGAGGCAGCUAGGGCCUCAAAAAAGCGAAAAAUAGAAGAAAAUGGGGCGCGAAAAAAAAAGAAGAAAAAGAGAGAGUAAGAAUUAGCUUCACCCUGCUCUACAGGACUCGGCCCACUCUUUUGCCAACACUCCAAUAAAAUUAGCUGUUCGGGAAACAUCAUUGGGUGGAAACCGCAGAAUAGUUAACUGUAACUUUUUGAGCUAUAUAAUACCACAUUAUGACAAAAUAAAAAAGAGCUGAAUCAUAAGCAGGCAAAGUAAAGUUUAUGCUUUUUUUUGGUUGUUGUUUUAAUUUUAAAGCAAUAGGAUUAGUCACCCUUCUGCGAGCUUUUCAAUGAGCAUUCUAUAGCCAAAAAGUAAAACGAAUAAUGCUACCAGUAUAAUCGAAAAUAGCUUAGAAGCACAGAGAUCUCUGUAUUCCUAAAAAUACAGCAGCCCUUUUCUCUUUCUCUCUCUCUCUCUCUCUCUCUAAUAUAUAGGAGGGCAGUUAGGCUAUUGUCAUACAAUAAGAUUUAAGAUAUAAAGUUUCACCACAAAUUAAUUAACUACAUUUUUGCAAGGGUCCACGUAACAAAUCCACUUAUAACUAAAAGGAAAACUAGCUACGUACUAACUCCCACGAUUCUCAAACAAAAGCAAAACAAAAGAAAAGAGCAGUUGACCAACAUUGCGGAUGAUUUUGUUGGACCACAUCUUUAUUUUUAGCUGCUUUAGUCUCAAUAAUUCUAAUUAGAGGGACCCUACUUGCAAUAUUAAUUCUUUGUUCUCUUGUGUUAGAUAUGACUCGAAAUCUAUUAUCGACUCAGGUUCGGAUUUACGACUCGCUGACAGCUUCGCGGUACGGAUCGGAUCCGAAACCUGUUAUGAAUUUUUCUUUUCGUUUUUGUCCUAGAUGUGUGUGAUCGUGGUUGCCUGUAAUCGGAAGAACAUUGUAUUCCCUUUCGUUUUGAUAGUGAAGUUCUCUCCUCUCUCGCUUGUGGUUUUUUCCCUGCAAAAAGUUUUCUGCGUAAAUCUGUGUGUGUUAUAUUUAUUUUCUGCUUGUGAUUUGAGUGUUUCGUAUUUGCCAUUUUUCGUUUUCCGUGCAUUUUGUGGUAACAUCUUCACACCCACAAUCAGGUCAUUAAUUUCUUUUGUUCUUUAGCAGUUGGUGAGAGAGAGAGAGAGAGAACAUGGCCUCACACAUGACUAUGCUUUAAAUAAGCUCAUGAGUCUGGUUAUAGUCAGUGUUCUGAAAAUCAGGUCGAAUCGGUUUGAUCACGGCUCUAUUUCUAGGCCGGUUCCAUUUGAUUCAUAAAACCGGAAAGCUUUAAAUUCCGUAUUGACCCAUUAAUUCCGUAUUGACCCAUUGAAACACCGUUUAAACCAGUAAACUGUUGAACUAGUCUGGUUUUAGUUGGACCAAUCUGAAUUAUCAUUUAUUAAAGAUCAUCGAUUGGACGGUUCACAGUUCAGAAGUGGUUCGACAGGUCGAACUAUUGGUCGAAUCAGCUCCGGGUUUAAAACAUUAAUUGGUUAUCACUUCAUUAUCUAGAAAAGGUAAGUAAUUAAGAGUAAAAGAUGGCACGAAUUGUCGUGUGAUUAAUUAUUUAUUCGAAAUAAUCCAAAAACUUAAAUUGAUAAAUAAUUUAAGAAACUCUUCACGUUAUGUACUUGCCAAGCUAGAUUCGAAGCUUUUGUUUAUCAUACAUCACAUAGUUUAAAUUGUUUACUUAGUUUUUUUUUUUUUUUGUUCUUUUUUAUUGUCAUAUAAAUAACUGCUGCUUUCGGAAGUAAAAUGUUGAACCAAUACAUAUUAAAGUUCAGACAAUUAGUAGCCUAUGGUCGUCAAACUAUUGGCUCUCAGGACAUAUUUGGCUCAUGAUUGUAAUAAGAAUGGGAAACAUAACUGGAUUGUAUUGGAAUGAAAAACUCUAAUAAUGAAUCAUCUAAAAAUAUUUGAUUUAUUAUUGUAAUAAAAAUCGGAAUGGACAUCGAGAUUUUUAAAUAGUGGUUUUGGUUAAGAGACAGAAGAGUGAUGAAGAGAGAGGAGGGAGAGGUGUUUGUGAGAAAAGACUUUUGAGUGAUUUACUUUAGAAUGAGUCAAUCCGGAAUCUAAAGUUGGAUUUGGCCACAAAUAGAUUGAAUCAUAUUCCUAUCUUAGAGUGAAAUAAAAAUCAAAAUCUGACUCCUGUAAAACAAACAACAACUAUAAGAAUUCUAAUUCUACAAGCACUGAUAAAUUAUAGUCUAAAAUAGAUAAACCAAGCAAGCCCUGAUAAAUAUAUUUAUUCAGAAUUCUAGGUCUCGGCCUGAUAAUUUAUGUAAACCCUCUAUUCUUUUAGUUUUGAUCAAAUUCCUAACAUUAUGCGUAAAUGUUUUCAAGUUCUCCAAACUUUCUAUGUCAUAGGUUUGUUUCGUGGGAAUUUGUUAAUUGGCCUAGAAGAUACCAUAGGAUUAUUUCUCAUUUCCUUCUAUUCAAAUAGGUAUUGAACUCUCUCUCUCUCUCUCUCUCUAUAUAUAUAUAUCUUUGCAAUGCCAUUACGUAUGGUAAGUGGAAAUAUACCUACUAUAUAUAUGUGGUACGAUUUUCUCUUGCAUCAUACUAAGAUCCACUUGCCUUUAAUUUGUUUAAAGAUUUAAGUUCGCAUGUUCUUUUAUAUAUAUAUAUAUAUAUAUGAGAGAGAGAGACCGGUCUCUUCUUUGUUAUUGCACUGAACUUAAAAAGUGCCAAAAAAAAAAAGAGCAACAUUUUAUCUUCUCCACAGCAAUGCCUGCAACAUGUGGAGGGAAAGGAAAUGUCACAAUAUAUGCAGCUCUGAUGCUUCUUCUUCUUCUUCUUCUUGUUCUUCUUCUUUCGGCAUCAGUAGACGCGGCGCGAAACUCUUCCGAAAUAUAUGAAAACCAAAGGACCAGCCAAAACAACCCUCUGAAGGUGCAUGCUCAAUUUUUGGCAUUUAUCUUUCUAUUUCAAUUCUUUUUGGUUUUUAGUUUUUGCUGCUUUGAUGACAGAAAAAAAAGCAAAAAAAAAAAAAAAAGAAAAAGAAAAAGAAAAGAAAAAAAAGUUGAGUGACUGUUUUGAAUUUAUUUGCAGCUGACUCCUCAAAUUUCAGUUCAAAUUAAAGUCCAUGCUUUCCUCCUCUGGGCUUCCUUUGGUUUCUUGAUUCCUGUUGGAGUACUUAUCAUCAGAAUGUCAAACAACACUAAAUCUGCUAAAAGUCUGAAAAUUCUCUUCUUUUCUCAUGUAAUUGUACAGGUAAUAAUUAAGCUCAUUCUCUUAUGGCUACCUUUUGGCUUCAUAUGGUAUGAAAAUUUACUUGCACUUUGAUCCGCAUCUCAAUUAUCUCCUGCGUAAGAAAAUUUGCAUUGAUUUCAACCUGCAUUUUAUUAUUGUCUCAAAUUAAAUAGGUCUAAAAGUUUGGAAUUUAUUGACUGAAAUAGGUUCAACAUUUUAUCCCAAAAUAAUAAAUCUAAGAGACUAAUAAGUUGAGUAUAAGGGUUGUGAUCCAUAAUAAAUCUAACAGCAAGAGACUCAAUAAUAAAUCCAACAUCAAGAUGAAUCGAAUCAUGUCAAAACUCUUGAGCACUAUGACUGAGCUUUUAAAUAUGAUGAGUUAGUCUUUUUUAUCAGUACGUUCUUUUGGAACAAUUAAUUAGCAUUUACAGUCCACAUGAAAGUAUGUUGAGUUCAGAAUGAAAAACUUUACAAAUAUUGAUUGCCAUGUAAUGUAGGUUUUAUAUUUGAAAAAUAGAUAUAAUUAAAACCUAUAUAUAUGUAUAUAUAUAUAUAUAUAUAUAUAUAUAUACCAGGAAUAAUUGAAAUGCGGGCUAAAGUGCAAGGCAUGUUUUGUAAUUUAGGCUUCUUAUUUAUUUAUUUUUUUGGCUAAUAGCAAUUUAUUGAUCUAACAUCAUUUUUCUUUAUGCUGAAACUUUCGAACUGUUCGAUAGAUAAUAUCAGUCCUUCUUGCUAGUGCUGGAGCAAUUUUGUCAAUCAAAAACUUCGCGAACUCGUUCGAGAACACUCAUCAAAGAAUGGGUUUGGCACUCUAUGGAUCUAUAUGGCUUCAAUCAGUGUUUGGGUUCUUUCGACCGAAUCGGUAUGCUAAACAAUCUUUAUUAUUAGAAAUAAUUUCAACAUAGUGAAAACUUAAUUAGAUACUCUCCACCGAAUGAUCCUAUAGUUUCAAGUGUAGCAUUUCGUGUUCGUACAAUUGUUUUCUUAGUUUAUGUAAUGAUACAUCAUUAAAUUGCCGAUAGGAGUUUAUAUAUAUGGCAAUUAUGUGACUCAUCAAAAUGAGAUAAAUAAUAAUUUAAUUGCUUAUUCCUAUUUAUUCUACUAAUUCAUUGUGUUUGAGUAAAGUGGUAAGGCAUGGGAUGGGAAUUUGUGAGGACAUGGCCUUGGUCUUAGUUGGGAGGUUGCGGUAUAGGAUAUAGGAGGCCAAACUCCCACUUCUUCUUUUCUAGGAGAAAUAUAACAAGCGAUCAGUUUCACUUAUUUUUGUAAAGAAAUGAACUCUGUUAAAAAUGCAAAACAAUUAGGCUUCAAACUUGCGACUUUAAAUAUCAAUCAUUAAGUUCUUAGCCAACUGUCUAUUAUUGAGAAUCUAGAAUUCAUUCUCACUUGUAGGUCCAACGGCCCAGAAUACGAAUAUAGGAGGUCAAGCGUAGGUCCAACGGCCCAGGGUACGAAUAUAGGAGGUCAAGCGCUCAAUUAUCAAAUGUCUCAAAGUGAAUCAAGUAAGGAUUAGCGACUAGUUGUAAUGGGACAUUAAAAGUUGACUCUUAGCAGAAAAGAACUACGAUUGUAGGAUAGCAAAAUGCUAUGCUUUAAACCACAGAACGGAAAAGUAGCACAUAAAAGGGUUUCUGAAGUUUCCCAUCUUAUUUAUUGCUUUCCAUGCAUGCUCCUAUUUUUAAGUUUAUGAGCUUUGCUUUCAUAUUCUCAGGGAACUUAAGCUAAGGAGGGUAUGGUACUUUGUGCAUUGGCUUCUAGGAACUGGAAUUUCCAUUUUGGGGAUAGCAAAUACAUACAUUGGUCUACAAACCUACCAUGAGAGAACCACAAGAAGUGUGAAGUUGUGGACAACUAGUAUAAAAUCCGCGCUUCGCUGCGGCUAACGGUUAAUUUUACAUUAUAAUUAAGUAAAAUUAUAAUGAAUAAAACAAAAAAAAAUAUAGUUAAAAAAAUAUAAACAAACAAAGAUUUAAGAAAAAAAAUACAUGCCCAGAAAAUAUUAUAGAGCAUUUAAUCAUUUUUAUUUAAUAAAAAAAAAUUUACCUAGAUAUUAUAUUUUUUUUCUUAAAUCUUUGUUUGUUUAUAUUUAAGAUUAAAUAAAGUAAAAACAAAUCAUAUGCUCUAAAAAAGUUGCGACAAAAAAGAAUAAAAAUUAAAGUAAAAAAAAAAUAAUCAGAGAUUCACCUAGAUAAUAAUAUUUUUUAUUAUAAAAAAAAUAUUUUGAAAUUUUCUAUUGAGAAAAAAUAAUAAAAAAAAGAAAGAAUAUCAAAAAUAAAAAAAUCAUAAUAGAUAAGAAGUUGUGAAGUUAUACUUCGGACCUCACUUUUUUUUUUCUUUUUUUGAGGGUAAAUAAAAUCUUUGAAAUAUUUCAAUUGGUACAUCAGCAUUCUCUCCUCCUUCUAUACAAUAUGCUGAAUCAUAUGUUCAAUAGGCAAUCACUCAUUCUUUUCAUCUUAAAAUAUAAAAAAAAAAUUAACAUAACACAUAAUAUGUUCAUCAUUUUGUUAAAAUUUUAUCUUUAAAAAAAAUAAAAAAAUAUGUAGAUCCGGAUAAAGAAGUGGUCGGUCGGUUGCAGUAGGUUCGGGUUAACUCGUUCGAACUCGGACUCGAAUAUUAUAAGAUUGUGAGAGAGAAACCUACGCGGCUCGGCUCGAUCGAACUUCGCUUAAUUCCCUCUCGCCCUUUUCAAAACAAAACCCUUCUCUCUCUCUCUCUCUCUCUCUCUCUCUCUCUCGCUUACGACGGGAAGCUUCUGCGGGAGCGAGAAGCCGCUGCGCGAUGAAGCAGAUCGGGUUCCGCGGCGCGGCGUCGUCCCCUGCAACUCCCGGAGCAACCGGGGACCCCCGGAACCCUAGCCGGACCCCUCUGCCGUCGGAGGUGGCGCCGUGACGCUCGGCCCCGCGCAGCUGCUUUAUAUUUGUUUUUCUUUAUUAUGGGUAUAUGAGAUGAGGCGAGGUAAGAUCGAGGUGAGGUGAGGUGAGGCGAGGCGAUCGGCGUUGACGCCGCCGAAGCCGCCUUGCUGUCUGCCGCUGUUGCCGGCAAAGCGGCCACCGCCGUCCUCAUCAUCUAUUUCAAUUGUUUCAAUUUUGCACCUCCACCAACACACCUAGAAAAGAAGAAAGAAAUAAAAAAAAAUACAAAUUAAGAAGUAAAAGAAAUGAGAGUACAGAGAAGAAGAAAACAGAGAAGAGUAACAAAAGGAAAAAGAAAAAAAAAGGAAGCAUGCAUGGCCCUCUCUUCUAUUCUCCAAUUUUUCGAGUUCAUGAGAUGUUCGUUUCUAUUCUAUUUAACAAAUAAAUGAUCUGAGAUUGGAUUCAUCAUUCCACAGUUAAUAUAGGAUAAAAUGGCAAUUGAGGAAGAUGAAGAACCAGAACAUAUAAAAUUUGAUGCAAGAACUAAACUAUUUAGGAGAGUAUACAAAGUACAGGUGUACGAAGCUAAGCUCUCGAUUCUUAAUAAAACAGAAAGAAGAAAAGAAAAUUAAAAGUUGUGAAUCGAUUGAGAUAGAUAAUAUAUAUAUAUAUAUAUAUAUAUAUAUAUAUAUAUAUAUAUAUAUUGCAAGCUCUUAAAAACAGCAGAAAAUUUUAGAAUGGAACGAAACAUACCUGAAUCUCUGUGAUGUCGCAGACGCAAAUCUGCCCCUUGUAGAAGAUUGUAAUCUGCUUAUUCUACUGCUGCUUCUCUUGACACUUCUCUUUUAUUUCGAAACAUCUCGCAUCGACAAAAACAUCAAUUAUAGUAUCAUCAUCAAAUAAUCUAUAUAUCUAUAUAAAAAGAUUAGAAAGAAGUAAACAUCAUGCAUGACCUUAAUUAAAGAGAUCAAAAUUUAUGAGAAUAUAAUGAAUCUCACACACAUAUAUAAAAGCCACCAAGGAAUUGCUUCCAUUCACCACCUAUUUAGCCAAUCCUACCAUUUAUUACAUAAAAGCCACCAAGAACUAAAAAGAAGAAAUCCCUCCUUUCCUCUUCACACCAGCAGCAACAGAGCGGAAGCGGCCGCGGCGGCCUUGGCGGCGGCGGCCUUUCUGACGUAGCUCACACGCUCCCACCGUGUCUGCAGGCGCCAAGCACGGCUAAGGCCCGAGAUGGCGAGCUGCGGCCGCGGCCCUGCCCGGCCUGGCUCGAGAUGCUCGCGAAGAUUCCCAGCCGGAGCCGGCGCUCAAAUCCCCGCGGUGUGACUCGACCAACACCAAGUUCUGCUAUUUCAACAACUACUCAAUCUCGCAGCGCCUUACUUCUGCAAGACCUGCCGCCGCUACUGAUCCGCGGCGACACCCCAACGUCCCUGUAAAAAUUAUUUUUUAAUUUUUUAAUUUAAUUUUUUUAGGGUACGUGAGAUGUUUACAGUAGUUUAAAAAAAACUGGCCUCCGUCCGUCUCGUCGUCGUCGUCGUCGUCGUCGCGGUCGUCGUCGGCGGCGGCGCGGCGGCUCGGGGUCGGGGCAUAACGCGCGCACGACGCCGACUCCGGAGGAGCCGCCCGUGUGGAACUCGUCAUGGCGGCGAUCAAGCGGUCCGCAGGCGAACCAGCGGCGCAACCCGGACCUUCCACCUCUACCAGCAGCAAGCGCGCGGCGGCGGCGGCGGCGUCGUCGAGCUCAACGUUCUCGGGUGAAGGUGGAGCUGCAGCAGUCGGUGCUCGCGAUCCUCGACGACCCGUGUGUGAGCCGCGCCGCGGGGAGGAAAAAAUCGGGGGUGGGUGGGGUGUGGGGGAGGGGGGGGGGGAGGAGAGAGAGAGAGAGAGAGAAAAAAUCUUGGGGCGGAGAGGGCGGGUGGGGACAGAGAGAGAGAGAGAGAGAAAAAAAAUCUGUGGUGGGGGGAGAGAGAAAGAGAGAGAGGGGUGGGGAGAGAGAGAGAAAAAAUCCGUGGUGGGGGAGAGAGAAAGAGAGAGAAAAAAAAUCUGGGGUAGAAAAAAAUCUGAGGGAGAAAAAUCAAAUACCACAAACACAGGUGCGGAGACGCCACGUGGAAUGGUGAGCAAAGAGACCUGCCACAUAGGAUUUGUAGAAAGUGUCAAAUAGUAUAGUUAAUAGAUUCUCUUCACUUUGGAGGUCACCAUAGUUUCUUUUAUCUAUCUUUUACAAGAUAGAUGGGAUUAUUUGAUGAAUAAGCAAGGAUUGGUUGGAGGUGAUGAGGAGAUUAGACCUAGAUUAUAUAACAUUUCCAAACUUGAUCAAAUAGCUAUUAGGUCAUAGAGAAUUUGAAUGGUUAUUUCUUUUUCAAAAAUCCAUAUUUUGCCUCCUUAAAAUUUCAAAAAUAUUUUUAGAAAAUACAAUUUAAAUAUAGAGGGCGAAAUGACCAAAUUGUCCUUACCUUUUCUAUGCAACAACUUGAAAUAUUGAGGAGGUAAAAUGUCGGUUUUUAAAAGUUAGGAAAGAAAAGUGAAAAACACGAGUGUUUAUAAUUUUUUUUAUAAUAAUUUGGUCAACAAAAUUGACAUGAUCACAAGUAAAAAAAAAUGUGGGCUAAUAAAGGCCUAUAGGCAGGGGUGAAAAGCAAAUUGGGAAGCGAAUAUACGUCGAAUGCUAAAUUUUUAUUAUCAUAUCCGACAAAAACGAAUUUUGAUUUAGAUAUGAGCUGCAUUUGUAUUCGAAAAAUAACAUAUAUUAAUUAACGCACAUAUAUAAAUACGAAUUAGAUUUUUUUUUUUUUUGAGAGAUAGAUAGCACGCUACCCGCUUCGUUUAUUUCAUUUAGAAAUAAAUUUAGCUAGAAAUGUGAAUCAACUAGGAUUUGAACCUGGGUCUCGGAUACUAACCAUCAAGCCCUUUGCCACAUGCUCUAAAGACAGUCGGUAAAUAUGAACUAGAAUUAGCGCAAAUAUGACACAUAAUACAAUUAAAGAUUCAAACACAUGUUCAAAUUUCGUAUAUCAAUAUUUUAUUCAAUAAAUUUUAAUAUUAAAAAUUUUACGAUUAAACACGAAAUAAAAUAAAGAAAAAUAUGAUAGAAAACCACUUUGUCCCCUAUAAUAUAUAUUAAUAUAUUUUUUUUUAUCUCUUAUGAAUGAAAGCGAUCAAAUAUGAUCGGAUUUUUUAAGAAACCAUAUUGCAUCCAUGUAUUUUUUUAUUUUCUUUUGAGACGCGAAUUCGGAUACAAAUAUAUGUGGAAUGCUAACUUUUGCCAUCUAUUUGUGCGUCUUAUUAAAUUCGGUGUUGGAUUUGAUCGAAAUUUAUCUUUAACCACUCUCACCCCUAUCAAGGGGUAAAAUGAAAUUUUAGACACAAUUUAUUAAUUUUGAAUUGGUUUUUAUUUAGGGGCAUUCAAAAAUAUUUCUAGCAUUUAUGGGGGUAUUCGUGGAAUUUUAAAUUUUGAAGGGGCAUAGAUGAAAUUAUAAUUUUUUUCAAAGGGCAUUUACGAAAUUAUCUCAAUUAUUAUUGUAUGCUAUAUUAGGGGACAUUUGGAUUGCGUUAUUUACAAUUUCUAGGUAUUAAAAGAUUAAAAUUGUAUAAUUUUUAUAUUUGGUUCGUACAGUCAUUUCAUCAAUGUUAAAAUUAUAAGAUUAGUGUGUUUGAUUUAAUAAUAAAAUUCCAGCAAAAUUCCUUCAAUCCUAAAACGGUGCUCACGUCGAUGCCUCCUCCGUGUCCGUCGUAAACAUGUUCGACAAAAUGCCCCAACCAAAUUCAACCUACAUGUUUACCACAACCACCUCACUCUACAGAGCACCUCACAGCACCAAGGCUCCACAGAUCUUUAAAACACAUUAACCCACCCCAAAGCCCAGAUUUUUUUUAAAAAAUUCCAUGAUAGCCCGAUUCAUGCGCAAUUCGCACAAUUCGGAAGCUCUAAAGCGGUUCAAGCAGUUUCAGAUUUGUAAAUUUGUCCCAGAUGAGUUUGUGCUCGCAAAAGCGCUUUCCAUCGCUGCCGACACUCAUGCAUUUGAUGAAGGAGCCCAAAUCCAUGCUUUUGUGGUUAAAAAGAAUCUACCGAUGGAUGUCGCCGCGAACAAUUCACUCCUCAAUUUGUACUUCAAAUGUGGUAAUGUAACCUAUGCAGAGAAGGUGUUUGAUGUAAUGCCUGUGAGAGAUGUGUAUUCGUGGACUGUGAUGGUUUCUGGGUAUUUAGUGAAUGGAGCAGUAGAGAAGGCUGCGGAGUUGUUCGACACAAUGCCGUGUAGAAACACGGUUUCUUGGAACGCGAUGAUCAACGGAUACCAGAAAGAAGGGUGUUAUGAGAUUGCGUUGGUGCUCUUUAACAAAAUGCGGGUGCAAGGCGAAGUUCCUAAUAAGUUUACGUUUCUCGCUGUUCUUAAGGCGUAUACUUGUCUUCAAUGGUUAGAGAAUGGUAAGGUAGUUCAUAGUUUGCUAGUGAAAUCGGGGUGGUUAGAGAACGCCCUUGUCGUGUGCACGUUGAUGGAUAUGUAUGCCAAAUGCGGUGGUCUUAUGGAUGUUCGUACGGUUUUUGAAGAGAUUAAAGAGCACAAUGUGGUCUCGUGGUCGAUAUUAAUGGCGGCUUAUGCUCAAAAUGGCAAUAUUUUGGAGGCUGAAUGGAUUUUUCACGGGAUGAUGGAAAGGAAUGUGAUUGCUUGGAAUGUCAUGAUUUCUUGUUAUGUGAACAAUGGUAUGGAAGAUAAAGCAUUAAAUCUCUUUAUCGAAAUGAUCAACGGCGAAAUAAGUCCAAAUUGCUUUACUUUUACGAGCCUCCUUAGUGGGUGUUCAAGCAAUCGAUACAUAAGAAUUGGUGCGACGAUUCAUGGGUCUGUGGUGAAGAAAGGGUUCGAUUCGGAAACUUCCAUUGGAAAUGCUUUGAUAACCAUGUAUGGUGAGCAAGGAAAUGAGAGAGACGCUCGUCUCGUGUUCGACACAAUGCUUUUGUAUGAUGUUGUUUCGUGGACAGCAAUGGUGGCUGCUUAUGUUUGCAAUAGCAAUGUCAACGAGGCUUGUGCUAUUUUCAUUAGGAUGAGAGAGAAAAACCUGAUAUCCUGGAAUACGCUGAUGUUCGGGUACCUUCAAAAUGAUAAAAACUCGGAAAAGAGCUUCAUAGAUGCAACAAACAAAAGAUCAGCGCUGACGAUAUAUUAUGAGAUGGAACAGUCAGAUAUUAAGCCCGACCACUUCUCGUACAACUGCGCUCUGAGUGCUUGUGCUACUGUCAGUGCUCUGGAACAGGCCAGGGCAAUUCACUGUAGAAGUACCAAAAGAGGGUUUGAUUCUGACGUGGGAGUAGGGAAUGCGCUAAUCUCCGUAUACGGAAAAUGUGGAUGUCUCGCUGAAGCAGAGAGGGCAUUUCAGAGUAUGAAGAACCACGAUAUGAUCUCGUGGAAUGCUCUACUAACGGGAUAUUCGCAAAAUGGAAGAGGAAAUGAAGUACUAGAUUUCUACAAUAAGAUGCACGAGUCGAGAGUGGAGCCAAACCAUGUAACUUUUAUAAACUUGUUAUCGGCUUGUAGUUACUUGGGCGAUGUUCAGAAAGGUAGGGAGUACUUUAAAUCGAUGAAGGAUUACGGUAUAAGUCCUACAAAGGAGCACUAUGCUUGCAUGGUGGAUCUUCUCGGACGAGCAGGGCUUCUGCGAGAAGCAGAAGCUGUAAUCAGAAGAAUGCCGGUGGAGCCAGAUAGUGCUAUAUGGGGAGCACUUCUUAGUGCCUGUAAAAUCCAUGGAGAUCCUGUGAUCGGUGAAAGAGCAGCUGAUGAGAUUUUUCAUUUGGAGCCGGAUAGUUCUGCCGCUUACAUUGCACUUGCUGAGACUUAUGCUAAAGCUGGAAUAUGGAAAGGUGUAGCCCAAGUGAGGACACUACUAAGAGAGAAGCAGCUUUUGAAAGAAGCUGGAUGCAGCUGGAUUGAGGUGAGGAACCAAAAGCACUUCUUUCUCGCGGGCGACACCGGUCACCUGUUAAAGGACUCUAUACAUGCAACACUCUGGAGCCUAUACAAAAACAUGUUCGAAAGAAUAAGUAUACAAGAUGCUCGCCCCCCUUGAAAUUUUCGAGGACAUUUGAUCUAAUUCACGAUUACUGUUUUACAUAUAAACCCCUGCAUAGCCUGAAUUUUCACAUAAAACCCUUGCAAACUGAGUUUCUUACGAGAGCAUAUAUGAGAUUAAGGUUUAACGGGAAUAAGUAUAAAAAUUUCUUUUAUGAUAUAUAUAUUUAUGGGAAGAGCUCCACAUAGCCAGUUAAUACAGCAACAGCCAAUAUGACAAAGGGGGGAAGGAUAACAAAUGCGCCGAUUGUUGCGAAGAAAACAGAGUCAUCUCUACGACCCACUUCAUUGAGGUAUGCCUGACGCUUGAUGUUUCUUCUCUGCGAUAUUGUUAAGGAAUUGAUACUUGCUUUUAACUUUUUACCCAGUGGAAUCGUGAACUCAUCAUUUCUGUCUCCUGUAAGUUCAGAUAGUUGCUCCCGAAUCGUAGGUAGCUGAGGCUCAUUGAUGCUUAUGGGGCCUAAAAUAAGAAAUUCGGAAGAUAAUUUAAUAUGGCAAAGAGUUGAUGGAUUGAUGCUAAUGUGAAGAAGGUCAAUACAUUCAUACCACUAACAUUUGAGGUCGAGGAUGUGAGCUGUUCCAAUAGAUCCAACUGGGUGCGCGCAGAAGACUCUAAAAGGUACAAAUUACUGACAUUAAUUAUGUAAUAAUAAAAAGAACAAGUGACAACAAAUAUUUGAAAAGAGGGUUAAUCAAACUAGUUGCAAUUGAUGAUUUAUUAUUGUGAAUAAUACAAAGAUGGUCGAUGUGUGUUAAAUAAUAAGCGCUUCAGGAUUUCAAGCAAAUGUGGCAAUAAGCAGGACAGGUUUGUUUAUUUUCCAAGUUUAUGGAUGGCCAAUAAAUGAAUAGAAAAGAAAAGCCAAAAUAAAGUACCUUAUUUUCAUUUAGUUUUCUGAUACUCAUAUUGGAUUAGUGCACUUGAUCAUGCCUAUUUAUGAUUGUUAAUCCAGCUUGGUAAUAGAGAAAAUUGCUUAACGAAUUUUUUUUACUAGGAUACCAACAUGAGUUAUUCGGACAUUGAAAUGGCAUUUUAAUGUAACAUUUUUCUGAUUUGGUUUUGUAAUUUGUGCGCUAAGUGAUAUGAUUUGUGCGUGCAAUCAUUUUUUCUGAUGCUUUGUUGUCAAAAUUCUGAAGAAGGCAAUAGGCUGUUAGUCAUUAACAUAUUUAGUUGGAAAGCUGAUAGAUGUAUGGUCUUUAAUCCUAGAACUUUUUUCAAAAUCAAAUGCUUGAAUUUGAAUAUUAAAAGGGCAGUAUAUACGCAACUAGAGUAUCAAAAAACAGGAAUGUUAGUCAUUAGCCUAUUUGUUCAUUUCCUCUCUUGGUUUGGUUUUCUGUAGGGUCUAUGUCUAAUUCUAUUCCUCUUUUGCAAUAGAAAGGAACAAAUAGAACAUGAAGCAUGCGGAAUGGAUAAAGAAAAGCUUCAAAUUUCACAUGGAAAGGAUGAGCAAAAUGAACAAAGUAAAGAUCAUGAUCAUGCAGAAUAAACAGGCAAAAUAUAUGCAGGUAGGAGAAGUAGCUACUUGAAAAGGAAUCAACUGAGAAAGCUAAAAUUAAUAAGAAUGGCGAAGUGAGACUUCGUAAUAUGCUGAUGAUGGCUAAUUUGUGAACUUCCCUGUAGCAGUUAUUUCAAUUGGUAGAUCAAGGUACUGAUUUUAACUUACUAUGUGAUUAUACUAUAAUUCUGAACCUUUCUGUCAGUUUGAUUUUGUAACAGUAAUAGAGGAAAUAAUUCUGAUAAACAAACCAUAACUGAAAUCACAUAUAAAUUAUCUAUUGAUACUCAUGAAAUAUGGACCUGCUAGACUUGGUUCUUCUCUGACACCUUCUGAUUGAACUGCUUUACAGGGGCAAAAGUGCUUUUCUGAGGAGUUAUGGGGCCUCAAUGGGAUUGAGUAGCUCUUUGUUGGGAACCUCUCUAGAGUCUGAAUCCUCAGAGGUGAUGUUGGGAGAGGGGAGGAAGGAGAGAAGUUCCAGGCCAUGGAUUCUUUUGGAAGUUGUGAGAGGUUUCUUUUUCUCCUCUUUUUGCUUAACACAUAAACUUAUGUUUCUUUCAUUUAUAUGUAUUUGAGAGAAUUUACCUGGUUAUGUUGAGCUUACUGUGUGGACCACAUAAAAGCUCAAAGGAGGAGCACCACAUAUUUGUGGCCUUAUUUAAGGUUUAAAGGGCUUCUGGAGGAAGGCCGGGUCCCCUAGACCUCUACUAGAAUCUGAAAAAUUAUUAUUGACUCAAUACAAUUUAAUUUGUAAAUUUACUGCUAAAUCUUUAACCUUCACUCUUUAUCAUCUUGAUGAGGAAAAAUUCUAGAAUACAACGUGUAUAUUGGUGACAUGGCGUAACAAGCCAAUCAAAAAUCUCCUUUUAAAGAUAUAUAUCCUAUCAUGAUUAUAAAAAAGUAUUUUUAUUGUACUUUUGUUUGAAAAGAAGAAAUAUGGUUGGCUUGUUAUUAAUGAUGUGGUUCAAGUGUGAUAGUGUAGAAUUCCUCCUUAAUGAGACCUAUGAAGUACUCAUGUAAGAGACGUCUCCUAAGGUUGUGCCUCCGUGUACGCCAUGAAUUAGCGACUUAGUACAAUUUUAAGACAAUUACAGUUGCAGAGAGAAUGUGUUAUAUAUAAAUUUUGCGUCAUGUCUUAUAGAUUUUAUUGGUUUGAUUACGCUACAAAUUUUGCGACCCCACUAUAUAUAUGUAGAAUCAUAGUUUUCAUAUAUUUGUGUUUCAAUUUUUUUGAUCUAGAAUUACAAGCAAUACUAUUUAUACAUUCCAAAAAAGAGAAUAAAUUUUGCACUCUUCAAUCAGAACUCAUGUCACUUUCUUAUUUUGUCAAUAUUUUUAAAAUAUUAAUUAAUUAAAGGUAGCGUUUGGUUCGGCUAUAAACAAGAAUUAGCUAUUACAGAGAUAGGUACAAAUAUGAGGAUAAGAAAAAUAGCGUUUGGGUGAAAAUUGGGUUGUUUCCGGGGAUAAGAAAAAUAGCGUUUCGAUAGAUAAUAUGGAAUAAAAAAAGGCUAAAUUACAAAAAAUUCUCUUGUAAUAACCCGUUUUUUCACUUUCCCUCCCUGAUAUUUAAAAACCUACACUUUGCUCUCCUGUAAAAUAAAAAAUGUGCACUUCACCCUCUACCGUUAGGGUUCCGUCAGGGUUUCGUUAAAAAAUAUAUUUUUAUGCUGAAAAUACCCCUCCGCCAUCUCCCUAUUGCUUCGACUCCCUCCGGCUCACCACCUCGCCGCCGCCUUGCCGCCUCGCAGCCUAGCUGCCUCGCCGUCCUCCACUGCCUCGCCCUCACCCACAUCCCCUUCGCCGUCCUCCGCCGCCUCGCCUUCGCCUUCUUUGCCCUUCUCCUACUGUCGCCCAUCUCGGUUUUCUCCUACUGUCGCCGAAAUCGAGGGCGGCGAGGGUGCAGAAGGAGAAGGGGAGCAGGUGGAGAAGAAAAUGGAGAGAAAUCGCGGCUGAUUGAGGUAGGAAUCGCGGUCGAACGAAGGGGCGGCUGAGAAAGAUGGGGAAGAAGACGACAAUGGCGAGAGGCAAAAUGGUCAUUUUACACACCGUAACUCUCCUGUGAACAUUUUUUAUUUUACAGGGGGGCAAAUUGUAGGUUUUUAAAUAUCAGGGGGAGAAAGUGAAAAAGCGGAUUAUUACAGGAGGGUUUUCUGUAAUUUAGCCUAAAAAAAAUAAUGGGUAGUUUUAUAUAGAAAAUGGAGGUGUUGGUGGGGAUAGUUAUAUCCGGUUAUUAUAAGUAAUCGAGAACUACUAUUCUUGGGUAAAAAAUUAGCGUUUGGUUAUAAAGGGGAUAAGGGGUUAUUCCUAUCCCUAUCCCUAUCCCCCAUCCAAACGAUGCCUUAGCGUUUGGUUCUGAUAUAAGCAAGAACUAGUUAUUACAGGAAUAUGUACAAAUAUGGGGAUAAAGAAAAUAGCGUUUGGAUGAAAAUUGGAUUGUUCCCAGGAAUAAGAAAAAUAGCGUUUGGAUAAGAUAAUAUGGAAUACGAAAAAUAGUGGGUAGUUUUAAUGAAGGUGUUGGUGGGGAUAGUUAUACCCGGUUAUUAUAAAUAACCGAGAACUAUUAUUUUCGGGUAAAAAAUUAAUGUUUAGGUAUAAAAGGGAUAAGAGGAUAUCCCUAUCCCUAUCCCCUAUCCAAACGGUG